rnacentral:lncRNA from 1 species
CUCGACUAAUCUCGCUGCAUUUCAAUGCGUCCUAUUCGACGUUGGGUAAUGUCUUGUUGGACCAUCGUUUAGCCGAACCUACGCUCGACAUCAUUGAUUUCUAGACACUGUUUAUAAGGAUCGAUGCAUUUUUAAUUAAAAAAAUAGAUGGCAGGAAAUAUUUGCAUAUUAAACAAUGCAUGACAUGAAGUGUUGGAUGAAUUUGACAUGCAUAAAGUCGCCAUUCAUAAAAUAACCUCAAGUUUGUAUGUACAGGUUUCUGCAGAAGAACUUCAACUCCAGCGUUUCCAACCUCAAAUUAGAACAUGUAAUAGCCCGUACAUUUCUUUCUUCCGUUCUUGAUUGAUUACUUGCUGCUCGUCGCUAAGUUGUCAGCCCCUUCUUUCUUUUCCAAUUUGUGCUCACUCCUUUUCAGUUUCCUCACAUAUCUCAAACCCGAUAGCAUGAAUCAUAUAUAGCGCAUGUUCGGCAUCUCUCUGCAUAGCAAAGCGCGUGAAGCGAAUUUUAACAACUUCCAGAAUUAUCACUGCAUGCCAUUCCACUCCGGCGCGGAGUCGUGGAGCGGAGUGAGUACGAACGUGCCCAUAGUUUCCACGCCGAUCAGGAUGCACUAAGAUAUUUUCGCUCGGUACCAAAAACCUUGCCACACACACCUCGAAGAAUUUCGUUGCAUUCCUAUGCGUCCUAUUCGGAGUUGCCAUUUAUAACCAGCUUGCCUAAUUUUACUGCAAUCCUAUUCGGGGCUGCCUUUCAUAUAUAUAUAAGUAUAUGCAACGGGAGCUCAUGAUAGAUGUACUGAAGUUGGUUGGUCUUUACACACUUGUGUAGCGAAAUGGAAAUGGGGUUGUGAGUUGUGACGGGUCAUAAGUUUAGUUGUGUAAUUCGUCAUGACAUUUGCGCCGCGAGUUUUUAUUGGUUAUUCGAUGAUAGCCUUAUGUAAAAGAUACAUCAAACUAACAAAAUAAAGCUAUGAAACACUAGUUAAUUCUUGCUUUUUAUGUACUCACGAAUGAAGCUCAACUGGGUGUUGAGUCAUUCGUUGGCCAGACCUUUGUGGAUACUAGUCGACAAAAUAACAACAAAUCAACUCCUGGAUCUAUUGCACUGGAUUAGUCCCUAUUACCAAAAAGAACCUUGUAAGUGGUCGGUUACUGCAAACAAACUUUAAUUAUGGCACGACAUGUGGUUAGUAGCAACACUUAUCACUGAAAGCCAACCGGGUUCUUCAAUUCCGACGUUUUUCAGUCUCAAGUUAGAACAUGACUUUUGCUAAAAAAGUUAGAACAUGACAAGACAAUGUAGGUUGGAAUGAAUUAUAAUUAAGAUUAAAAUUAGAUUGACGCUAUAAAAAUAGAGAGAUUAAGGUGAUUGAAUUAGGCCAUACUAGUAGCUAGCUCCGGUUCAUUUUUGCAAGCACCACAUGAAGGGCUUCAUCAUUUGAAUUAUUUCCUCAUGGCAUGAGACCAUAUCAUCAAUGUGUGUAUCGACCAUAUAUCUAUCAAUUGGUUAUUUUCAGCCUUUUCUUGUUGCAGUAUAAGGGUCUGCACCACGGCGCUCAUGAUGGUUGUGAUGGUGGUGAUUUGGGACGUGCACCCGGCGAUCGCCGCCGCCUUCUUCGCCGUCUACGUGGCCGUGGAGGGCCUGUACAUGAGCUUGCCGAUGAACAAGAUGGCGCAGGGCGGGUGGGUCCCGUUCGCCAUCACCGCCUUCUUCCUUGUGAUCACGGUGUCCUGGACCUACGGCCGGAAGAAAAAGGGCGAGUACGAGGCGGGCCACAUGAUCUCCGGCAACGAGCUCGCCGCGAUCGUGGCCAGGUCGGCGCGCGCGCCGUGCCGGUAGUCUGCUUCUUCUUCACCGACUUGAUGAACGGCAUCCCGCCCAUCGUGCGCCACUACGCGGAGCACACGGGAUGCCUCCGCGAGCUGCUGCUGUUCGUCACCGUCAGGAAGCUGCCGGUGACCUCGGUGCUGCCGGAGUUUGUGCUCGCUCCUUUCAGUUUCGUCACAUAUCUCAAACCCGAUAGCAUGCAUCAUAUAUAGCGCAUGUUCGGCAUCUCUCUGCAUAGCAAAGCGCGUAAAGCGAAUUUUAACAACUCCCAGAUUUAUCACUGCAUGCCAUUCCACUCCGGCGCGGAGUCGUGGAACGGAGUGAGUACGAACGUGCCCAUAGUUUCCACACCGAUCAGGAUGCACUAAGAUAUUUUCGCUCGGUACCAAAAACCUUGCAACACACACCUCGACUAAUUUCGCUGCAUUCCUACCUAUGUGUCCUAUUCGGAGUUGCCAUUUAUAACCAGCUUGCCUAAUUUUACUGCAAUCCUAUUCGGGGCUGCCUUUCAUAUAUAUAAGUAUAUGCAACGGGAGCUCAUGAUAGAUGUACUGAAGUUGGUUGGUCAUUACACACUGGUGUAGCGAAAUGGAAAUGGGGUUGUGAGCUGUGACGGGUCAUCAGUUUAGUUGUGUAAUUCGUCAUAACAUUUGCGCCGCGAGUUUUUAUUGGUUAUUCGAUGAUAGCCUUAUGUAAAAGAUACAUCAAACUAACAAAAUAAAGCUAUGAAACACUAGUUAAUUAUUGCUUUUUAUGUACUCACGAAUGAAGCUCAACUGGGUGUUGAGUCAUUCGUUGGCCAGACCUUUGUGGAUACUAGUCGACAAAAUAACAACAAAUCAACUCCUGGAUCUAUUGCACUGGAUUAGUCCCCACUACCAAAAAGAACCUUUUAAGUGGUCGGUUACUGCAAACAAACUUUAAUUAUGGCACGACAUGUGUUUAGUAGCAACACUUAUCACUGAAGGCCAACCGGGUUCUUCAAUUCCGGCGUUUUUCAGUCUCAAGUUAGAGAAUUACUUUUGCUAAAAAAAAUUAGAACAUGACAAGACAGCGUAGGUUGGAAUAAAUUAUAAAUAUGAUUAAAAUUAGACUGACAGUAUACAAAAAAGAGGGAUUGAGGUGAUUGAAUUAGACCAUAGAAGCUAGCUCUGGUUCAUUUUUGCAAGCACCACAUGAAGAGCUUCAUCAUUUAAAUCAUUUCCUCAUGACAUGAGACCAUAUCAUCAAUGUGUGUAUCGACCAUAUAUCUAUCAAUUGGUUAUUUUCAGCCUUUUCUUGUUGCAGUAUAAGGGUCUGCACCCUACCCUAGUACAUGCAAAUCCCAUUUGAAGAGCCUUCUAGAUGUUUCUAGACACUCACACCUGGCUUAACCAUUUGACACGCAAUAUCCAUCCACGAAAGAUGGAGCAUUUGGCCUGCCGGCCAUAGCACCCCCGGCUCAACGACAGCCUAGUGGGUCCCAUAGAAAAGGGCAUGGAAAUUGCCAUAAAUACCAAGAAUGGUGCAUGAAGCUCACAUAAUAUGAUUCUAAGGAUCGAAAGCUAAGAGUUAACCAGAAGUCAAGGAUCCUUUGCCAUGGGAUAUUCUCGGAAUUCGGGGAUGAAUAGCACAAGACAACUAAAUCCCCGAGAGAGCAGUCAGUCCGUCCACACGACAGAAACCAACUCGGGGGCGUCGUCUCGCGCCGCCACCGGCCCCCAUCUCCGCCCCCUCCCCGCGUCGUCACCGGCCAACCCUCCCGCGCCGCCACCGGCCAACCCUCCCGCGCCGCCACCGGCCCCCCUCUUCGCCCCCUCCCCGCUUCGCCGCUGCCAGAGGGGACGCCGGCGAAGCCGCAUGCGCCCCGGGGAUGGCGGCGGCGGGGCCACUCGCGUCGGCCCUCGGGCUCUGGCGGCGGCGCUCCGCGUCGGUGGCUGCGGGAUCCGGCGAGAUCUCGCCCACCGACGGCGCCUGACGACGGAUUCGGGGCUGCCAUGGCUGGAUCUUGUGCGGGGCGCGCGACCAUGGUGGUAGGGAGCGGCCGGACGCGGCUGCGGUGGCAGAGAGCGUCGGCUAGGCGCGACUGCGGUGGCCAGGGCGCGCGGUGCGGUGACCCGUGACGCCUGGGGGUCGUGGUGGUGCGUGGCGGCAACGCUCAGCGGGUCGGUGGCGGUGGAUGCUCAGCACAGCUCCGGGAGAAAUCCUUGCUCUGGUCAUCAUCGGAGCCGCGACGGUGACGCCCGCGGGUGCCGCUAUCUUUCUUGGAAGCGUCGUUUUGGACGUGUGCUGCUCCCCUUCGUCGGCCGCUGCCUGGUCAGCCGUCACGUGGCUGCUAUGGCGGCCGACGGCACCAGGUCUAGCCGCUGUCCUCCGGCCCUGAUGUGGGCCUCUCUCCUGCAGAUUCUUGGCAGUGCCGGCGUGAUUGCCGGGGCCCUACCUGUGGGUGAAGCCGGUGGAGGAGAUUCGGAUUGGGGGAAACCCCUUGGUUGGCCCAGGCCUGCCGCGCCGACGACGACGCUCAAGGGCGCCGUUAUUCUUUUUGAAGACGUCGGUAUACAUCUGCUCCUCUGCUCCCCUUCCUUGCCUCUCGGUGAAAACCCUAACUCCGGUGGGCGGCGGCGGCGUCCUUGACGUCGUGACCUUCCUGAAGGCGUCGCCUAGAGGGCUGAGUGGUGGUGGGCACCGUGUGGGUCCUGAACGGUUGCUGGUGGUGGGCACUGCUUUGGGGGAAACCCUAGGAUCUGGUCUUCCAGAUCGGACGAUGGCGGUACUGCGGUGCCGUUUCUCUCUUGGGAGCAUCGUUUGUGGAGCAGCGCUGGCAGACUGAGGCAGGAGGUGGAGCGGCUUCGUCUUGCACGGAAUUUCGGUGGAGCUGUCAAGUCAUGCCUGGCCGACAGGUGCUACGCUGAGUCAUGCCUGGUUGGCAGGUGCUACGCACGACAGAUCUACCGGAGUCUUCGCAUGUGGACGGAUGAGCGCAGGGUGGUGGCGUCGACGGAUGUUUGGACUGGCAUGGAUGAUGCAGAUCUCUUUCCUGAAGAUGGGUCAGUGGUUCGAUGAUGAUGACGGCUUGUAAAACGUGUGCGUGAGGUGUGCGUUUUAGGUGUGCUGCACCGGCUGUUGCUCCCGAUACGUUAUGUGGAUGGAUUGGCGACAACAACGGUCUGAGAUAUGUGGAGUGAGAGCACUCCACAUUAUCGAGUUUGUAGAUGUGAGUGGUGGCUUUGGGUAGAUUGAUGUAUACUCUUGUUAGACCUUUGUGGAAUAAUUAAUAAAGAUGGCUGCAUGCAUCGAUUGAUGCAGAGGCCGGAGGUUUAACCUCCUUUUCUAAAAAAAACUAAAUCCCCGAGAAAAGAUAUAAUCCUUGAAGUCCAUUCUUUAAAUCUCGCGCACGAGGAGGCAAAGGUAGUAUUUGUAGAUAGUUAGAAAGACCAGAAAAAACCUAAAGGAAUACGCUAAAGACCAUAGGAAUAUUCCCUUCUAAAUUACCAUCAUACACUUAGAGUUAGAGAAAAAAAAGCAAGGGUACACUUGUAUAAUACAUGCUGGCAUGUCGUGUAAUUUCCUAAACCUUCCACCUUUGAUCUACCAAUAGAAGGCCUCCACUCACUUCAAAGGGAGGGGCAAAGGCUUGAGCUCUCACUCGAUCACUUAGGAGAAGUGAAGGAGAGUCGGGAGGAGGACACAACCUGGAGAAGUAGGGCACGACGUGCCCGUCCAACACUUGUAGGUAUGAUGUGAUGUUGGAACGCGCGACACAACCCCAUGUGACAUGCACAACAUGACGUGGAGCGACACGGGAAGGAGCAGCAUGACCUAUUGAGAAGCACAGUGUGGCCUCAUCCAGUCUCGUAGCAAAGGCACCCUAUAUGGAGAAAGGCAUCGUUCUCCCUUCCAAGAGCUUACGGGAUAUCUCCGAAAAUCGGUUAUCGACUAGAAUUGCCCUCCUUAAGUAGUUACUUGCUGGUGUUGCUCCUCAGAAGGUAGCUACCUGCUAGUGUUGCCCCUAAGAAACUAACCACCUAAGGACAACCACAUAGAUGAUGAAGUGAUGGCACAAGCUAUUAAAGAAAGGAUCACAUCAACUCUCCACAAGGUACCCCUAAAUCGACCAACCCUCCGCCCCCUAGCGUGCCUCCGAAUAUACUAUUUGGGCGUCCUUGGCAACACUUUUUAUAGAUUUAUGAGCCAAACACCCUCCUUGGUUAGGAGUUUUCAAUAUUUUUCUUUCACCAACUUUUUCCAUGGCAAACUCCAAAGUUGUAGACUUCCACCUUUUUUAAUUAUCUGAAACACAACCAUUCACGUGCUAGAUAUCUGGGUGUUCCUCUCAUCACAAUCAAAACCUUGAUUUGAUCCAUAUUCAUUAACUUACACGGUCCAAACCCAUCCACUUUACCAAUGGAGUUAUAAAUAUUUUUCUGGUUUAGGGGAUGAGAAGUUUUUAACCUACGCUCUUCAUGAAUAUCACGCAUGCCCUUGGCAAUUGUCAAUAUGAUCGGACGACGACGAGGCGACGCUGGCGAUGAUCUAGUGCUGGACGGAUGACGAAGGGGUCGACAGGCGCCACGGCUCGGGUGGGCGAGCUACGAUGGUGCCGAAGAAAGGGCGUGGUAUGGCUCGGGUGGGUGAGCCGCAGUGUCACCGAAGAGGAGCGGCGGCCCUGGCGGAUGGUUAGGAGUGCGGCGGCGAUGCUCGAAGUAGGCGAGGAAGAAUCCGACAACAUGACGAAGAACGGCGCGAACAGUGGUGUUCCCGCACCAAGGGAGGCAGCGCGACGCAUACCACGUAGAGGCGACACACAGAGAUGGCGGAGUGGACCGCGAGCCGCGCUGCUAUGGCCCAAAGGGGCGACGUAACGACGGUGCACGGGUCGGUGCUGCCACGGGGACGACCUCGAGCGAUGGCGGGGACCGCGUGCCGCCGCGCUAUAGCCUGAAGGGGCGGUGUUGCGGCGGCUCGCGGGUCGGGGAAACCGCGGAGAGAACCACGGGGCGGCGGCGCUGCAGCCCGACAGGGCGAUGCAGUGGCAGCCCGUUGCUCGAUCAGUGAAGGGGCGCACUUAACCUAGGGACAAUCUUCAUGGGACCUGCGGAGGCGCGCGCAACACACGGGCGGAUCGGUCGCACGAUGUAUAUGACGUGGAUCGCACGCGGUCGGACCAAUCCGAUCGUGCACGAGGUCGGGGACGUUGCUCGAUGAAGGCGGGGUCGCGGCGUCUGAGAUGAAACCGGCGGAAACAGUCGCAGCCGGAGCGGGCAGCCGGUCAGACGCGGCCGGCGAGGCACCCGACCCGAGGACGCGGCCGGCCGUAGCCAGCCUAACGCUGCCGAUGAAGGUCGCAUCCAGAGCCGGCAGCCGGCCUGACUCGGCCGACGACGCAGCCGACGCGAGGCAGCCCGCAAGGCCAACACAGCCGUCAACGAGCAGUCGGCCCGUGGCAGGCGGCGAGGCCGACGCGGCUGGAGCCUGCAGCCAGCCCGAGGCAGUCGAUGUUGGGGAACGUCGCAUGGGAAACAAAAAUUUUCCUACGCGCACGAAGACCUAUCAUGGUGAUGUCCAUCUACGAGAGGGGAUGAGUGAUCUACGUACCCUUGUAGAUCGUACAGCAGAAGCGUUAGAGAACGCGGUUGAUGUAGUGGAACGUCCUCACGUCCCUCGAUCCGCCCCGCGAACAAUCCCACGAUCAGUCCCACGAUCUAGUACCGAACGGACGGCACCUCCGCGUUCAGCACACGUACAGCUCGACGAUGAUCUCGGCCUUCUUGAUCCAGCAAGAGAGACGGAGAGGUAGAAGAGUUCUCCGGCAGCGUGACGGCGCUCCGGAGGUUGGUGAUGAUCUUGUCUCAGCAGGGCUCCGCCCGAGCUCCGCAGAAACGCGAUCUAGAGGAAAAACUAUGGAGGUAUGUGGUCGGGCAGCCGUGAGAAAGUCGUCUCAAAUCUGCCCUAAAAGCCCCAUAUAUAUAGGAGGAGGGAGGGGGACCUUGCCUUGGGGUCCAAGGGACUCCCAAGGGGUCGGCCGAGCCAAAGGGGGGAGGACUCCCAACCCAAACCGAGUUGGACUUGGUUUGGUGGGAGGAGUCCCCCUCCCUUCCCACUUCUUCCCUCUUUUUUUUCUUUUCCUUUGAUUUUCUUUUCUUGGCGCAUAGGCCUCCUUGGGGCUGUCCCACCAGCCCACUAAGGGCUGGUGUGUCUCCCCAAAGCCUAUGGGCUUCCCCGGGGUGGGUUGCCCCCCCGGUGAACUCCCGGAACCCAUUCGUCAUUCCCGGUACAUUCCCGGUAACUCCGAAAACCUUCCGGUAAUCAAAUGAGGUCAUCCUAUAUAUCAAUCUUCGUUUCCGGACCAUUCCGGAAACCCUCGUGACGUCCGUGAUCUCAUCCGGGACUCCGAACAACAUUCGGUAACCAACCAUAUAACUCAAAUACGCAUAAAACAACGUCGAACCUUAAGUGUGCAGACCCUGCGGGUUCGAGAACUAUGUAGACAUGACCCGAGAGACUCCUCGGUCAAUAUCCAAUAGCGGGACCUGGAUGCCCAUAUUGGAUCCUACAUAUUCUACGAAGAUCUUAUCUUUUGAACCUCAGUGCCAAGGAUUCGUAUAAUCCCGUAUGUCAUUCCCUUUGUCCUUCGGUAUGUUACUUGCCCGAGAUUCGAUCGUCGGUAUCCGCAUACCUAUUUCAAUCUCGUUUACCGGCAAGUCUCUUUACUCGUUCCGUAAUACAAGAUCCCGCAACUUACACUAAGUUACAUUGCUUGCAAGGCUUGUGUGUGAUGUUGUAUUACCGAGUGGGCCCCGAGAUACCUCUCCGUUCACUCGGAGUGACAAAUCCCAGUCUUGAUCCAUACUAACUCAACCAACACCUUCGGAGAUACCUGUAGAGCAUCUUUAUAGUCACCCAGUUACAUUGCGACGUUUGAUACACACAAAGCAUUCCUCCGGUGUCAGUGAGUUAUAUGAUCUCAUGGUCAUAGGAAUAAAUACUUGACACGCAGAAAACAGUAGCAACAAAAUGACACGAUCAACAUGCUACGUCUAUUAGUUUGGGUCUAGUCCAUCACGUGAUUCUCCUAAUGACGUGAUCCAGUUAUCAAGCAACAACACCUUGUUCAUAAUCAGAAGACACUGACUAUCAUCGAUCAACUGGCUANNNNNNNNNNNNNNNNNNNNNNNNNNNNNNNNNNNNNNNNNNNNNNNNNNNNNNNNNNNNNNNNNNNNNNNNNNNNNNNNNNNNNNNNNNNNNNNNNNNNNNNNNNNNNNNNNNNNNNNNNNNNNNNNNNNNNNNNNNNNNNNNNNNNNNNNNNNNNNNNNNNNNNNNNNNNNNNNNNNNNNNNNNNNNNNNNNNNNNNNNNNNNNNNNNNNNNNNNNNNNNNNNNNNNNNNNNNNNNNNNNNNNNNNNNNNNNNNNNNNNNNNNNNNNNNNNNNNNNNNNNNNNNNNNNNNNNNNNNNNNNNNNNNNNNNNNNNNNNNNNNNNNNNNNNNNNNNNNNNNNNNNNNNNNNNNNNNNNNNNNNNNNNNNNNNNNNNNNNNNNNNNNNNNNNNNNNNNNNNNNNNNNNNNNNNNNNNNNNNNNNNNNNNNNNNNNNNNNNNNNNNNNNNNNNNNNNNNNNNNNNNNNNNNNNNNNNNNNNNNNNNNNNNNNNNNNNNNNNNUCAGUGAGUUAUAUGAUCUCAUGGUCAUAGGAAUAAAUACUUGACACGCAGAAAACAGUAGCACAAAAUGACACGAUCAACAUGCUACGUCUAUUAGUUUGGGUCUAGUCCAUCACAUGAUUCUCCUAAUGAUGUGAUCCCGUUAUCAAGUGAUGACACUUGCCUAUGGCCAGGAAACCUUGACCAUCUUUGAACAACGAGCUAGUCAACUAGAGGCUUACUAGGGACAGUGUUUUGUCUAUGUAUCCACACAAGUAUUGUGUUUCCAAUCAAUACAAUUAUAGCAUGGAUAAUAAACGAUUGUCAUGAACUAAGAAAUAUAAUAAUAACUAAUUUAUUAUUGCCUCUAGGGCAUAUUUCCAACACUCCAUAUUACACUCGGUAACAAGCUCCAGGAAUACUGAGACGUAGGGCUAUUACCUCCACCGUAGAGGGGCCUGAACUCAUACAACCUCGCCGUAGCUAGGACUCUGCUCAUCUCAUUCGUACCCUACACAUCUACUGUCAGGCUUAUACCCAUGACAGCUAGAGUUACUGCCAAUGCUCGUGAUGCUUCUGAAACUGCUGAUACUAUUGAGAUAGAACCUGGUUUUGCUCCUGCUAGAUCCAGCUCUCCUAGAUAUGAAUUACCUGAUAUACCUGAGGGUUACGUUAUGGAGGGAGAGAUAGCUGAGGAUUUUCUUGCGUGUAAGGAUGCCUAUGACGCUGAGAAAUUACUUCUCAAGUGGAAGGAAAAAUCUCUGAAAGCUAGGAUGAAAUACGACCCGAAGUUUGCCACUUCACCUAUCUUUAUCACCGAUAAGGAUUAUGAAUUCUCUGUCGAUCCUGAGAUAAUCUCUCUAGUCGAGUCUGAUCCUUUCCAUGGUUAUGAGUCUGAGACGGUCAUAGCCCAUCUUACCAAACUACACGAUAUAGCCACCCUUUUCACUAGUGAGGAGAAGAUCCGCCACUACUACAUCCUUAAGCUGUUUCCUUUCUCUUUAAAGGAUGACGCUAAAGCCUGGUUCACCUCUCUUGCUACUGGAUGUGUGAGUAGUCCCCGAGAUAUGGUCUAUUACUUCUGUGAGAAAUAUUUCCCUGCCCAUAAGAAGCAAGCUGCCUUGCAGGAAAUAUACAACUUUGCUCAACUCCCAGAAGUGAGUCUCCCACAAGCUUAGGGGAGGCUCGUCCAGCUACAAAAUGCUUUGCCUGAUCACCCUCUUAAGAAGAACGAGAUACUUGAUAUCUUCUAUAACGGACUUACCGAUGCCUCUAGAGACCACCUAGAUAGUUGUGCCGGUUGUGUUUUUAGGGAACGGACUAUCGAACAAGCUGAGAUCCUUCUGAAUAACAUCAAGAUCAACGAUAAUGCUUGGACUAUUCCUGAACCACCUCCUAAGCCAACUCCUAAGAAAAGAGGUAUUCUAUUCCUCAGUCCCGAAGAUAUGCAAGAAGCCAAGAAAUCUAUGCAAGAGACAGGCAUUAGAUCUGAAGAUGUACAAAAAUCUACCAUCUAUCGAAGAGAUCCAUGGUCUCGAUAACCCGAAACAAGUAGUAGAAGUGAAUUCUCUGCGUAGGUUUGAUGAGAGUGAUAUUCCUUUUGACAAACCUGCUAGCCUAUGCUUUGAUGAAUUUGACAACUUUGUUGCGAAACAACAGAGUUUCAAUGAUUAUGUUAGCAGACAUUUGGAACAAAGUACUCGUAUGCUUAGCCAUUUAAGUGCUUGUGUAGACAGAAAUGUCAAUGAUCUGAAGCUUCUGAGUAAACUUGCCUCUAUGAUUACUAAUCAGGUAGAACAAGUACUUAAAGCUCAGAAUGACUUGCUCAAUGAAUAAAAUGACAACUCUGUCAGAGUCAUUACUAGAGGAGGCAAAAUGACUCAGAAACUUUUGUAUCCUCAAGGUCAUCCUAAGAGAAUUGAUCAAGAUUCUCAAGGAAUUAAUGCUGAUACACCCAGUCAUCCUAAGGAGAAGAAGAAGGAUGAUAGAAACUUACAUGCCAGUUCACAAAAUACUGUCACACCUGAAGAACCUAAUGAUAUUUCUGCGUCUGAUGCAGAAACACAAUCUGGUGAUGAACAUGAAUCUGGUGACAAUAUGGAUAGUGAUGUUCAUAAUAAUGCUCAACCUAGCAAUGAUGAGGAUGUGGAGAUUGAACCUAUGGUUAAUCCUGAUAACCCACAACCAAAGAGAUACGAUAAGAAUGACUUCACUGCUAGGAAGCAUGGUAAAGAAAGGGAGCCAUGGGUUUAGAGAUCUAUGCCAUUUCCUCCUAAGGCAUCCAAGAAAAAGGAUGAUGAGGAUUUUGAGCGCUUCGUUGAGAUGAUAAGACCCAUCUUUCUACAUAUGCGGUUAAUUGAUAUGCUCAAAAUGUCUCCGUAUGCCAAAUACAUGAAAGAUAUCGUGACUAAUAAACGGAAGAUACCAGAUCUUGAGAUCUCCACCAUGCUUGCCAAUUACACUUUCAAAGGUGGAACUCCUAAGAAACUUGGUGAUCCCGGAGUGCCAACUAUACCUUGUUCCAUUAAAGGAAACUACGCAAGAACUGCCUUAUGUGACCUUGGAGCCGGUGUUAGUGUUAUGCCGCUCUCUCUUUAUCGUAGACUUGGAUUGGAUAAGUUGACACCCGCUGAAAUUUCUCUGCGAAUGGACGACAAAUCAACUGCUUUCCCUAUCGGCAUUUGCGAGGAUGUGCCUGUUGUGGUUGCUAACACCACUAUCUUAACAUACUUUGUUAUCUUGGAUAUUCUCGAGGACGAUGCCAUGGCUGUCAUCCUUGGAAGACCCUUUUUAAACACUACAUGGGCUGUUAUAGAUUGCAACAAAGGCAAUGACACUUUCCAUGUCAACGGUAAUGAGCACACAGUGCACUUUCCAAAGAAACGAUAUCAAGUACGUUGCAUCAAUGCUAUCGAAAAGAUUUCAACGAUUCUUAUUGGGAGCUUUGAAUGCCCUAUUCCUCGUGUCAAGAUGAAGUAUGAUUUGCUUGUUGGGGAGAUACAUAUCCCCAUUGAGGUGACUUAGUGGCUAUUCGAAAAUUCUCCGUUCUCUCUUGCAAUUCGAGAAGGGUUUUUUCAUGAGGACUUGAUCAACCCCAUUGAUGAAUUUCUUUCGAUGACCAUGAAAUGGAUGAAUCAAAGAGUCACAUACCUCUGUUUUGAGGUUUCAUUUUCUGUUGCUUAGAAGAAAAAUGAUAGAUUUAGUUUAGCUUUUCUUGUUUUCUGUUUUAGCAUCCCGGAGAAAAAUACCCUGAAAAUAAAAGUUCUCCGAUGGUCCUGAAAAUCUAGUAUGAUUUUUUCUGGAAUAUUUGAAAAAUACUGGGUCUGAGAGCUGGCCUGGGGGCCAGACCAGUGGGCCACAAGCCCUGCAGCCGCCGCCCCCUGGUGGCGGCUAGCAAGCUUGUGGGGCCCACAGGUACCCCCUCCACUCAUUCCAGCUCCCAUCCUCUUCUUCCACCUCUAGAAAAAAUUGUUUCGCAGCUCAAACCCGUGUUCUUCUCAUUUGGAUGUGAUUUUCGGUCUCCUUGCUCAAGGCACCAUUCUCCGAACCGUUUUGGAGAAAUUACUCCUUGGUAAGUGACUCCUCCAUUGGUCCAAUUAGUUUUUGCUCUAGUGCUUUAUCCUUCGCGUAUUCUUGCUACCUUGGUGACCCUGUUCUUGAGCUAGAAAUGUUGAUUUAGCUAGUCCCAAGUAGUUUUAGCGCGUGAUACGGUCUCUAGGCACAAGUAGGAGUAGUUGCUACGAGUUGGGUUAAUCUUUAUUCACUUUUCUUUCUAAGUCUCUAAAAAUUUCAGAUUUUUUCAGAGCUAGAAAAAGGAAAAGAUGAGGAGGUUCUUGAGAGGCUCUUCAAGCCGUAACCCCAAGGAGGAUGAGAAGAACCACCCCAAGUACAUAGUCCCUUGAGUCACAGAAGUUCGAGCGUGCGAGUGGCCAAGUGAUGAAUUUUUGCGCGUCGCUGGGCUUUAUGAAGACUUUUAUUACUUGGUGGAGAAUGCAGGUCUUACCACCUUCAUUGAAUAUAAGUGUCCGCAAUACCUCCUCCUCACUAAUAUCUUCGUAGAAAGCUUCAACUUUUAUCCGAGGAAGAAUCCUCCCAUGGUUGAGUUCAUGAUAUACGAUGUCCCCUAGUGCAUGACGCUAGAGGAUUUUUGCAAUGUAUGCAAAUUACCUUAUGUUGGGGAUAUCCGUGACCCUCGUCCACGGGACUUGGAGGAUUCCAUUGGUACUAUUGCUGUUGGAGAGGAGAGAGGAGUGUCUCGCGCCAGAAUUGCUAGCAUACAUUUUCCUGUGCUUCGGUACUUCUCACUAUUUGUGGGAAAAUGUUUGAUUGGCCGUGGGGAGGCUGGAUCACUUACUUCUCCAGACCUUGCAGUUUUGCAUGAAGGCCUUUAUAACGAUAAUAAUUAUAGCCUAGGUGCUAUAGUAGCCCAGCGGUUGAACACCAACCGUUCCAAGGGUGUCGUCUAUGGAGGUAUCUAUGCUACCCGUCUUGCCAGACACUUUGAGAUACCCAUUAGACUGGGAGAGGAAGGAGAGAUGCUUCUCCCUGAGAAAUAUCUAGAUUAUGACAGCAUAGUUCGCCAUGAUUUUCUGGAUAGAGAUGCUAGUAGACGGAUGAUUUAUAACUUGGUAUUUAGUCAGGGUACUCGAGAGACUAUUACUUUGCCUGCUCCUUCUUUGUUCGAUCUUCAUGCAGGCAGGUACACUAUUAUGCCCUCGGACAUUUAUGCAUAUUGGGGCUUGGCCCAACCACAGGUGCCCGUGCCCGAGCCGCCAGUCGAGUACCAGACGCUAGUUUAUAAGUGGGAGCCAGAGGAGCUGACACAGCAGUGGCAUCCACAGUUUGCUCCGGAGUAUCCCGGAGCUGGUUAUUUCCCACCUUGGGAGUAGACCAAGCUAGGCCAAAAGCCUAAGCUUGGGGGAGUACGUGUUCUCACCGACCUUACAUUCAUGCUUAUGCUUCACUUUGUUAGCCGGUGUUUACAAUUUGCCACUGUAUUAUCCAUGCUAGUUUAUUUCCGUUUUCUUGUUUUAUGUCCUUUUGAGAAAACCCAAAAAGAUUUUUCUUUCUUCUUUUUCUUGUUGGGAGAUUUCCCAUGUAAAUAGUUUUCUUUUUCUUUGGGUCAAGGUAGAAGAUAUUGGUUACAAUGUUUAGUGGUUCUUGCAUGCAUACCUGUUUAGCUUUCAAAGAGCCAUAUUACUUUGUCUUCUCCUUUGUGUUUGCCUGUAGAUUCAGCUUAGUCCAUUGCACGAGCGCUAUUAUCAUUGUUCACAUCGUUCGAUCGUGCAAGUGAAAGGUAAUAAUGAUGAUACAUGAUGAAGUGACUGAGACUGGAAAAGCUGGUAUGAACUCUAUCUAUUUUGUUUUUGUAAAUAUGACUAGCUUGUCAUGCCUAAUUCAGCUUUGUUGUGAGAGAACCAUGUUUGCAAUGACAACUUAGAGAUCAUAGUUUUUGAUGCCAUGCUUAAUUAGCUAGGAGCUUAUAAUGGUUUGUCUUGAAUGCCAACAUAGAUUUUGAGAUGACUAUGAUGUAGUAUGAUAGGAUGGUAUUCUCCUUUGAAUGAUUCAAGUGGCUUGACUUGGCGCAUGUUCAUGCAUGUAGUUGAAACAAAAUCAACAUAGCCUCUAUGAUGUUCGUGUUCAUGGUGAUUUAUAUCUUGUUCAUGCUUGCAUUCAAUGUUAGUCAAACUCAUUGCAUCUUGGUGACUGUUCUCGCUGUCUAGUUGGUCAUUUCCCAGUCUUUUGCUAGCCUUCACUUGUACUAAGCAGAAUACUGCUUGUGCAUCCACUUCCAUAAACCCAAAAGUUUUUCCAUGAGAGUCCACCAUACCUACCUAUUUGCGGUAUCUACCUGCCGUUCCAAGUAAAUUUGCAUGUGGCACUCUCUAAAUCUUCAAGAAAUAAUCUGUUUUGCAUGCCCGAACCGCUCAUGUGGUGACAGGGGGCUAUUGGUAUCUUCCAUGCUAGGAGUGUUAUCCUCGACAUGUGUUUAUUCACUGUCAUUCACGAGAAAAGGGCCGGUAAUUGGAAUGCCCAGUUCCACGCUUAAAUCGAAAACAUAACUGUAAAACAAGACUCCCCCGGAUUGAUGUUAGUAUGGACGGUACCCGAGGAUUCGGCUAGCCGUGGAGUGUGAUUGAUUGGUGGUGGGGGAGUUAAAACUUUACUUUUCUGUUUGAAAACCGCCUAUAGCAUGAGUAGCAUGGAAGAUAUUGAGAACUCUUGGUCAUUGCGUUGACAAUGAAAGCAUACCACCCAAAAUUAUUAUCUCUAUUUUCAAAGCUUGAGCUCUGGCACCUCUGCAAAUCAAUGCUUCCCUCUGUGAAGGGCUUGUCUAUUUAUUUUCCUGUUGAGUCAUCCUCUUCUUUUAUAAGCACCAAUUAGAGAGCACCUCUGUCAUUUUUAUGCUUUGCUUUUGAUUGAUAUUGAGUAUGACUAUGACUGGAUCUUCGUUGCUAUGAAUUACAAUGUUUAGUCAGCCCUUGAUCUUUGAAAGUGUUGUGCAUUUAUGUUUUGUGGUCUCAGAAAGAGCUAGCGAGAUACCACCUAUUCAUAUUGCUUCAUGCUUGUUUUGAUUGAAGUGUUGGUAUUUGAAACUCAUUAUUAUUUGCUCGUUAGCUGAUUAUGCCAUUGAUAUUAGUUUACCGUGAGACCUUUGAGUCACUUGCUUAUGUGGUUAACUUGUGAUCUUGCUGAAAUUCUGGUUAUGAGUUAGACAGAGUUGCAACAACAAGAUCAAACAGAGUUUGUCAAAGUUUUUCUUUCUCUCUCGGUUUGUCAACGGAGUUGCUUGAGGACAAGCAAGAUUUUAAGCUUGGGGGAGUUGAUACGUCUCCAUCGUAUCUACUUUUCCAAACUCUUUUGCCCUUGUUUUGGACUCUAAUUUGCAUGAUUUGAAUGGAACUAACCUGGAGUCACGCUGUUUUUAGCAGAAUUGCCUUGGUGUUGUUUUUGUGCAGAAAUGGAAGUUCUCGGAACGUCCUGAAAAUUUACGGAGAAUUUUUUUGGAAAAUAUGAAAAAUACCUGCGCAAAGAUCCACCGUAGGGGAUGGGCAAGUGGGCCACAAGCCCUGUAGCCGCCACCCCCUGGUGGCGGCUAGCAAGCUUGUGGGGCCCACGUGGCUCUGCCGCCCCCAAACUCACCUCUAUAAAUUCACUUUCGUCCAAGAAAAAAUCAAGAGAGAAGAUUUCGUCGCGUUUGCGAUACGGAGGCGCCGCCACAUCCUGUUCUUCAUCUGGAGGGUAGAUCUGGAGUCCGUUUUGGGCUCCGGAGAGGGGAAAUCGUCGCCAUCAUCAUCAUCAACCUUCUUCCCUCUCCAAUUCCAUGAAGCUCUUCAUCGUUCGUGAGUAAUCUAUUCGUAGGCUCGCUGGGCGGUGAUGAGUAGGAUGAGAUCUAUCAUGUAAUCGAGUUAGUUUUGACGGGGAUUGAUCCCUAGUAUCCACUAUGUUCUGAGAUUGAUGUUGUUACUACUUUGCCAUUCUUAAUGCUUGUCACUAGGGCCCGAGUGCCAUGAUUUCAGAUCUGAAAUUAUUAUGUUGUGACCAAUAUAUGUGUGUUUUAGAUCCGAUCUUGCAAGUUGUAGUUACCUACUAUGUGUUAUGACCCGGCAACCCCGGAGUGACAAUAACCGGAACCACUCCCGGUGAUGACCAUAGUUUGAGGAGGUCAUGUGUUCACCAAGUGCUAAUGCGUUGGUCCGGUUCUUUAUUAAAAGGAGAACCUUAAUAUCCCGUAGUUUCCUUUUGGACCCCACUGCCACGGGAGGGAUGGACAAUAGAUGUCAUGCAAGUUCUUUUCCCUAAGUACGUAUGAUGACACACGGAAUGCAUGCCUACAUCACAUUGACGAACAAGAGCUAGCCACAUAUCUCUCCGUGUUAUGACUGUUGCAUGAUGAAUAUCAUCCAAAAAAUCACCGACCCAUUGCCUACGAGUUUGUCCCACUGCUGUUGUUACUUGUCUUGCUCUGUUGUUACUUGCUACUAUUGCUACUUGCUACUGCUGUUACUUGCUACUGUUGCUACUUGCUACUGCUGUUACUUGCUACUGUUGCUACUUGCUACUGUUGUGACUACUGCUGUUCCUUGCCACUGCUGCUACUCGUUACACUGCUGCUACCUGCUACAAUUCUGAUUCGCUCGGCGUUGACAGGAAAAGACAAUUUCCGUCAACGGGUAACUUCUGGCGCCAUUGAUAUGACAGUUAGGAAUAGUCUGCCGUCAACAAAUUGUUUAUGACACCGUUGCUAUCGUACUACUUUGCUGUUGAUACUUUGCUUGCAGAUAUUAAUCUUUCAGGUGUGGUUGAAUCUGACACAUUCAGCUACUAAUACUUGAGAGUAUCCUCUCACUUCCUACUGGCGAAACAACAAAUUUGGGUUGAAUACUCUACCCUCGAAAACUGCCUCGAUCCCACGCGCUGGUGGGUAAUUACAAGACAAUUUCUAAUUGUUGAGCAACCGAGAAUAGCAUUCGUCUAGCCAUUGCCAGAGAUUGCCAUCAAGGACAAGCAAGGUUUUAAGCUUGGGGGAGUUUGAUAUGUCUCCAUCGUAUCUACUUUUCCAAACUCUUUUGCCCUUGUUUUGGACUCUAAUUUGCAUGAUUUGAAUGGAACUAACCAGGACUAACGCUGUUUUCAGCAGAAUUGCAAUGGUGUUGUUUUUGUGCAGAAAUGAAAGUUCUCGGAACGUCCUGAAAAUUUACGAAGAAUUUUUCUGAAAAAUAAGAAAAAUACCUGCGCAAAGAUCCACCGGAGGGGAUGGGCUAGUGGGCCACAAGCCCUGUUGCCGCGGCCACCCCCCUAGCUACGGCAACCAAGCUUGUGGGGCCCACGUGGCUCUGCCGCCCCAACUCCAACUCUAUAAAUUCACUUUCGCCCAGAAAAAAAUGAGAAGAGAAGAUUUCGUCGCGUUUGCGAUACGGAGGCGCCGCCACAUCCUGAUCUUCAUCUGGAGGACAGAUCUGGAGUCCGUUUUGGGCUCCGAAGAGGGGAAAUCAUCGCCAUCGUCAUCAUUAACCUUCUUCCCUCUCCAAUUCCAUGAAGCUCUUCAUCGUUCGUGAGUAAUCUAUUCAUAGGCUCGCUGGGCGGUGAUGAGUAGGAUGAGAUCUAUCAUGUAAUCGAGUUAGUUUUGACGGGGAUUGAUCCCUAGUAUCCACUAUGUUCUGAGAUUGAUGUUGUUACUACUUUGCCAUGCUUAAUGCUUGUCACUAGGGCACGAGUGCCAUGAUUUCAGAUCUGAAAUUAUUAUGUUGUCACCAAUAUAUGUGUGUUUUAGAUCCGAUCUUGCAAGUUGUAGUUACCUACUAUGUGUUAUGACCCGGCAACCCCGGAGUGACAAUAACCGGAACCACUCCCUGUGAUGACCAUAGUUUGAGGAGUUCAUGUGUUCACCAAGUGCUAAUGCGUUGUUCCGGUUCUUUAUUAAAAGGAGAACCUUAAUAUCACGUAGUAUCCUUUUGGACCCCGCUGCCACGGGAGGGAUGGACAAUAGAUGUCAUGCAAGUUCUUUUCCCUAAGCACGUAUGACUACACACGGAAUGCAUGCCUACAUCACAUUGACGAACGGGAGCUAGCCACACAUCUCUCUGUGUUAUGACUGUUGCAUGAUGAAUAUUAAUACAUCUCAAACGUAUCUAUAAUUUUUGAUGUUUUCACGCUGUUAUCUUGCCUUCUUUGUAUGUUUUAUGUACCUUUUUAUAUCUUUUUGGGACUAACUUAUUAAUUCAGUGCCAAGUGCCAGUUCCUGUUUUUCCGUGUUUUUGACUCUUUUCAGAUCUGAUUUUGGAACGGAGUCCAAACGGAAGAAAAACCCCGAAAUGAUUUUUUCCCGAACGGAAGAAGUCGAGGGGGCUUUUGGGCCAAGCUAGUUGGGCUCCAGGGAGCCCACAAGCCCCCACUCUGCCACCAGGGGGGAGGCGGCGGUGGGCAGGCUUGUGGCCUCCCGGGCCGCCCCCUGACCUAGGUCUUUGGCCCAUAAAUUCCGAAAUAUUCCGCAAAAAAUCAGGGGAGCCUCAAAAAUACUUUUCCGCUACCGCAAGCUUCCGUUUCCGCGAGAUCUCAUCUGGAGAUCCUUCACGGCGCCCUGCCGGAGGGGACUUUGGAGUUGGACGGCUUCUUCAUCAUCAUCAUCGCCCCUCCAAUGACUCGUGAGUAGUUCACUUCAGACCUACAGGUCCGUAGUUAGUAGCUAGAUGGCUUCUUCUCUCUCUUGGAUCUUCAAUACAAAGUUCUCCAUGAUGUUCAUGGAGAUCUAUCCGAUGUAAUCUUCUUUGGUAGUGUGUUUGUCGAGAUCCGAUGAAUUGUGGACUUGUGAUCAGAUUAUCUAUGAUAUAUAUUUGAGUCUUUGCUGAUUUCUUAUAUGCAUGAUUUGAUAUCCUUGUAGGUCUCUCUGAGUCUUGGGUUUUGUUUGGCCAACUAGAUCUAUGAUUCUUGCAAUGGGAGAAGUGCUUGGUUUUGGGUUCUCCCAUGUGGUGACCUUUCCCAGUGAUAGUAGGGGCAGCAAGGCACACAUCAAGCAGUUGCCAUCAAGGGUAAAAAGAUGGGGUUUUUAUCAUUGGUUUGAGAUUAUCCCUCUACAUCAUGUCAUCUUGCUUAAGGAGUUACUUUGUUCUUAUGGACUUAAUACACUAGAUGCAUGCUCGAUAGCGGUCGACGUGUGGAGUAAUAGUAGUAGAUGCAGAAAGUAUUUUGUUACCAUUGAUGGCAACAACAUGAUGCGUGCCUUGCUGCCCGUUCUGUCACUUGGAAAGGUCACCACACGGUAUGAACCCAAAACAAGCACUUCUCCCAUUGCAAGAAUCAUAGAUCUAGUUGGCCAAACAAACCCAGACUCGGAGAGACUUACAAGGAUAUCAAAUCAUGCAUAUAAGAAAUCAGCAAAGNUUGAUGGCAACAACAUGAUGCGUGCCUUGCUGCCCGUUCUGUCACUUGGAAAGGUCACCACACGGUAUGAACCCAAAACCAAGCACUUCUCCCAUUGCAAGAAUCAUAGAUCUAGUUGGCCAAACAAAACCCAAGACUCGGAGAGACUUACAAGGAUAUCAAAUCAUGCAUAUAAGAAAUCAGCAAAGACUCAAAUAUAAUUCAUAGAUAAUCUGAUCAGAAAGCCACAAUUCAUCGGAUCUCGACAAACACAACGCCAAAGAGGAUUACAUCAGAUAGAUCUCCAUGAAGAUCAUGGAGAACUUUGUAUUGAAGGUCCAAGAGAGAGAAGAAGCCAUCUAGCUACUAACUACAGACCCAUAGAUCUGAAGUGGACUACUCACGAGUCAUUGGAGAGGCGAUGAUGUUGAUGUAGAAGCCCUCCAACUCCAAAGUCCCCUCCGGCAGGGCACCGGGAAGGGUCUCCAGAUGAGAUCUCACGGAAACAGAAGCUUGUGGCGGCAGAAAAGUGUUUUCGUGGAUGCCCUCAUUUUAUUUUGGAUUUUUAGGGAAUUUCUAGGCCAAAGACCUCGGGCAGGGGAGCACCAAGGGGGGCACAAGCUUGGUUGUCGCGGCCUCCCCCCUGGCUUGUGGGCCCCCUGUGGGCCCACUGCCUUGGCCCUCAAGCCUCCCGAUCUUCUUCCAUUCUGGAAAAAAAUAUUUCGCAGAUUUUAUUCCGUUUGGACUCCGUUCCAAAAUCAGAUCUGAAAAGAGUCAAAAGCAUAGAAAAAACAGGAACUGGCACUUGGCACUGAAUUAAUAAGUUAGUCCAAAAAAGAUAUAAAAUGUAAACAAAACAUCCAAAGUUGACAAGAUAACAGCGUGAUACCAUAAAAAAUUAUAGAUACGUUUGAGAUGCAUCAAGCACCCCGAAGCUUAACUCCUGCUCGUCCUCGAUUAGGGAAGUGAUAAAGAAUGAAUUUUUGAUGCUUUCAUGCUACCUAGCAUAGAUGUCCUUCGUAACUCCUCUUAUGUGACGUGAAUGUUCAGAUCCAUUAGAUUCAAAACAAUAGUUUGCUAUUGACGUGGAGACAAUAAUAAUUCAAGCAAACUAGCAAGGUAAUCAUGAACUUUCAAGAUAACAAGGCCAAAAGAAAGUUAUCCCUACAAAAUCAUAUAGUAUGGCUAUGCUCUAUCAUCAUUGCACAAUGAAUUUAAAUCAUGCACAACCCCGGUAUUGGCCAAGUAAUUGUUUUCACACCUUUACUUUCUCAAACUUUUUCAACUCUCACGCAAUACAUGAGCGUGAGCCAUGGUUUUAGCACUAUAAGUGGUGUGGAGUGUGGUGGAGGUUGCAAGACAAACAAGGAGAAGAUGGUCACAUUGACUAGGCAUAUCAAUGAGCUAUGGAGAUGCUCAUCAAUAGAUAUCAACGUGAAUGAGUAGGGAUUGCCAUACAAAUGAUGCACUAGAGCUAAUAGUAUCUGAAAGCUCUUAAAGAAAACUAGUGGGUGUGCAUCCAACUUGCUUGCUCACGAAGACCUAAGGAAAAUUUGAGGAAGCCUAUCAUUGGAAUAUACAAGCCAAGUUAUAUAAUGAAAAUUUCCCACUAGCUAUAUGGUGGUGACAAAACGAGGGACUCUCAAUCAUGAAGAUCAUGGUGCUUAAUAUGCACAAGGGUGGAAAGGUGGUAGCAUUGUCCCUUCUCUCUUUUUCUCUCAUUUUUUUUGGUGGGCUCUUUGGCCUCUUUUUUUUGGUGGGCAUCUGUGACAGCCCGAUGCCGACGCCCGAGAAGAUUCCCCUGUUAUUUCCGUUUCCGUCGUGUGAUAUUUUUGUUGGUUGCAUCAUCAUUUAGUUUGCAUCAUGCAUCAUGCAUGACAUGAUGUCAACUGUGUUUUGUCGGUGUUGCUUGUUGCUCCGUGUUGUUGGGUGUCAGUGCCUUGUGAGUGGCGUUGUCUUGUUGGAGUGAUGAUAGUGGGUGCGUGAGAGCCACCGCUAAACCCUGUUGCACCGCGAACCACUCCCCUCCUCUCUUCUCUUUGAUUUUGUUUUGGGGUUGUGUAAAAGUUCUAUUUUAACCCCUUUUAAAAAUUGUCUUCUUUUAAAAACUCCUUUUAUUAAAUGUGGGGGCAACCCUAGGUUUUGCUUUAUUUUUUUCCCUUUGUUAUUUAAAAAAAACUAGAGAGCCUUUUAUUUAUAAAAGGGGUUUGAUUUUUUUAUUCUUUUGUAAACGGGUUUUAAUUUUAAUUCUUCAAAAGGUUUUAUUUUAUUCCUUUUAAAAAAUGCCCAAUUAUUUCUUAUAGUUGGGGUGUGGUUUUUAAAGGAGCCAAAGGGUAUUUUUUUGCAUUUUUUAAAAUCCUUUUAUUUUAUUUUGUGUGUGUUUUUUUUCUGUUUUUAAAGAGGAAAAAAACAAGAUUGAGAGAGGAGGAGCCAGCCCAUGCCUGAGCUCGCCCAAGGCCCAGCCGGCCCCAACCCUAGCGAUAGGGGAGGGAUGCCUCCUCGAUCCCUCUCCUCGUUCCCCCGAGCGCCGUCAUCUCCUCCUGUGCCCCGAUUCCCAGCCCUGCGUAGCCCCUGCUCCCGUGCUUCCCCAGCGCAGCAACUCCCUCCCCGCGCGCCGCCAUGGCCUCGAGCUGCCCGCCGCCGGCUUGCCCAGGCCCGAGCGCCCCUGCUCCCCACCAUGCCUGGCCGUCUCCAGCGCCAACGCCCGCGCCUCCCGUCACCGCGCCCGCCUGCCCGAGCUGCUCGUUGCCGCUACGCCGCCCCGCCAUGCUCGCCUCCCCGCGCCGCCCCGCCAUGCUCGCCUCCCGCGUCAACCCCGCCAUGCUCGCCUCCGGUCGCCGCGCCAGGCCCUCUCGAGCUCGCCCUCGUCCCGUGCUCGUCGCCCACUCGCCGUUCUACUCGGUUCCCCGUGCCGCCGCCGUAGCCUGCUAGUUGCUGUUGUUGUACAUGCUGCUAAGUUUGCUGCCGUGUUGCUUGCCAGGUUGCUGCCGAUGCGUGAUGCUGGCUCCCGUUGCUUGUUGUUUGCUGUGGCUUGUUGUUGUUGUGUUGCCGCUGCAGCCGAAGCUUUUUGCUCUUGCUGCUGCCUGCCGCUGCCGAAUUAGCUUUCUAGCUAGUUGCUUGUGUUGCGUGGCUUGCUGAUUGUUGCUAGGCCGCCGUCAGCUAGCUGCUGCUGAUUGCCUGCUUGCGUGCCUUGCUGCUGCCGUUGUGUGCCGAUGCUAGUAGCUGCCUGAUGCUGUUGUGGUUGCCUGCCGUAGCUUGCCGUUAGUUAUUAGUUGCUAGCUAUUGCUGCUGUCGCGGGUUGCUAUUGCCGAAGACCGCGUGCACCAUCCCCUCCUUCAUGGACCCGACAAGAUCACCGUGUACGACUACUUCCCCUACGAGACGUGUACGACUUCCUCGACGACUCCGGACGUCUUCGGAAAACGUGAACGACUACCGUCGACGAGACCCGAGAACCACGACGCCGAGCAAACGACUAUCAUCGACGAGACCGGUACCACGACUUCCACGACGUCCACGACGACCGUUUUUCUCCUUCAACGAACCGAACCGCUCUGAUGUGCACGCUCCGAAGGUAUAACGUUGAGACGUUGUCGUGACCGUGUGAUGUGAUGUAUGAGUUGAAUGUAUGUUGCACCGUAUGUUGCCCGUGGCACGUUGUGUUCCUCUUUCGUUGUGCCCUCGACGCAUGGGAGCCCAAUAUACGGGAUCACCCCACCUAUAUAUAGCGUUCCCGCACACGUUCCCAGUAUGUUGGCACGAUAUCUCGACGAGUUAUCGGGAUAGGAACGUUGUCGUGGCAUCGUUUCCGUCUUGCCGCCAUGGUUCCAUCUCGCUCGCUGUGGCGACACCUAUUUCUUUCUCUUCUUGCCCGUGAUGUUUGAACUCACAUGCAUGACGCAUUCAUGGCAUAAUAUAUUGUGUUGCAUGCCUCUUGUGUCGUAGCUCCGUUCUAAGUCCCGCGUGUUAACCGACUAGUAUGACAGCUAGAAUCAUCGCUACACCCUUCCCAUGUUAACAACAAUUAAAUAUUGCUGUGUAAAUAAACGGGAGUGAACUAAUAUUUAAUCGUGGAGUUUCGUCGAUAUGCAACUCGUUGCAUAUCGAGCUUCACUUAAUGUGUAGUGUUUGUGUGAGGUGAAUUGCCAUGCUACCCCUUGCAUUUUGACCUGUUCAUGCAUCAUAGUAGGUUGUGCAUCAUGUUGUGCAUCGUGUGGUGAAUAUCUGUGUUGAUGUUUGUUUCCGGUUUGCUCCAUCUUGAUAGAGUUCCGCAAGCGUGUCGGAAUGUGAGGAACCGUUCGACUACGUUGGUUCACCGACUUCACGGAGUCGUUCUUCUUCCAAGCGGGAUCUCAGGCAAGAUGACCAUUUCCCCAGAUACCAUUACUAUCAUAGCCAUGCUAGUUUUAUCGCUUCUAUCGAUUAUGUCUCGUUGCCUACCACAUGUUAAAUAUCAGCCUCUCAACAAUGCCAUGAUUACCUUCAACCUGUUCGACCUAGCAAACCACUGAUUGACUAUGUUACCGCUUGCUUAACCCUGUUGUUAGCGUCGCUUGUUGCAGGUGUAGUUGCUUCCAUGUGAUAACAUGGGUCCCUUGUCAUAUCACCAUAUUAAAUGCUAUUUAAUUUAAUGCACCUAUAUACUUGGUAAAAGGUGGAAGGCUCGGCCUUUCUAGCCUGGUGUUUUGUUCCACCUUUGCCCCCUUAGUUUCGGCUACCGGUGUUAUGUUCCCUAAUUGAGCGCUCCUAACACGAUCGGGGUUGUUAUGGGGACCCCCUUGAUAAUUCGUUUUAGAUUAAAGCUGGUCCGGCAAGGCCCAACAUUGGUACUACAUUUGCCCAACAUAAUAACUUUGUUAAUACUGAAAGCACAGGGCGUCAUGAACCCGAGGAGUAAUUUCACAUAAUACAGGGAAGGCCAGUGCUGAUGGUGUUGGUCCAAAAUAGAGCACUGUGCGGGGCCACCGCAAGGAAACUCGAGGUUUGGCACUCGUACGCGUAGCUUAUCCGUCGUGUCCUGAGAACGAGAUACGCGGCUCCUAUCGGGAUCGUCGACACGCCAGGCGGCCUUGCUGGAUUAGUUUUACCUUUGACGGAAUAUCUUGUGCAUCGGGAUUCCGGUGAUGCUUUGGUUAUUCUCAGAGUUGAGGUUUUCCACUAAGGAAUCCGACAAGAUCGCGAGCUUCGUGAUUGAGGAUUUCUAUGCGGCUUGUGGUAAUUUGUGAUGGACUAGUUGGAGCACCACUGCAGGGUUAAAUCUUUCAGAAAGCCGUGCCCGCGGUUAUGUGACAACGUGGAAACUUUGUUUAACACUGGUUCUAGAUAACUUGAAGAAAAUUUAAUUAAAAUAUGCCAACUGUGUGCGUAACCGUGACUGCCUCUUUCGUGAGUUCUUUCUCCGAUCGAGGACACGGUGGGGUUAUGUCUGACGUAGGUAGGUGUUCAGGAUCAUUCAUUUGAUCAUCAGUAGUUCACGUCCGUUAUGCGUAGAUCUUCCCUCUCUUAUUUCUUGUACUCGUAAGUUAGCCACCAUAUACAUAUGGUUAGCCGCUGCUGCAACCUCACCACUUAUCCAUGCCUCACCCAUUAAGCUUUGCUAGUCUUGAUACCUUUGAAAAUGAGAUUGCCGAGUCCCCUGUGGCUCACAGAUUACUACAACACCAGUUGUAGGUACAGGUAAAGGUUACUCGACAAGAGCGCGUUGAUUGUUCAUUUGGAGUUGCUUCUUCUUCUUCUUCAUUGAUCUAGGAUGGGUUCCAGGCUGGCAGCCUGGGAUAGCAAGGAUGGACGUCGUUCUUCUUUUCUCGUUUGUUUUCGUCCGUAGAUGGACCCUGCUCUUACUCUUGAUGUUUAUGAAAUGUACUGAUGUAACUUUGAUGUAGCUUGUGGCGAGUGUAAGCCAAUUCUAUUAUAUAUCUCUUCUUUUCAGUACAUGUACUUGUAACGAUAUCCAUUCUUGCGACACGACGAGAUGCGCUUCUAUCCCUGACAAGGCCUUCGUGCCAAAUUGAGGAUAGGGUCGCAUCUUGGGCGUGACAGCAUCUUUGGCCUCUUUUUGUAUAUGGGCUUCGCUGGCCUCUUUUAUUUCCUCACAUGGGACAAUGCUCCAUCAAUGAUGAUCAUCACACUUACAACUCAAAACUUAGAACAAUGAUGACUCUAUAUGGAAUACCUUCGGUAGUGUACCGUGACAAUGAUCUAGCAUGGCAUGGACAUCAAUGGGAACAUCAUGCUAGCUAUAUUACGAUCAUGCAAUGGCAAUGUAGACGUGGUGGCACAUGUCAUGGUGGUAGUUGCAUGGCAAUAUAUCUCGAAAUGACUUUGAAAAAGGCAUAGUAGGUAGGUAUGGUGGCUGUUUUGAGGGAGGCUAAUGGAUGGUUUUGUGCACCGACGAAAGUUGCACGACACUAAAGAAGAUAGUGAUGGUGGAAGGUGAAAGUGCAUCUAAACCAUGGACUCAACAUUAGUCAUGAAGAACUCAUAUACUUGUUGGAAAAGUUUUAGUAGUAAUCGAAACAAAGCAUUCAACGCAUACUCCUAGGGGAAGGGUUGGUAGGUAUAAACCAUCGCGCGAUCCCGACCGCCACACAAAGGAUAACAAUCAAUAGACUAAUCAUGCUCAGACUUCAUCACAUAGCGGUUCACCAUACGUGCAUGCUACGGGAAUCACUAACUUCAACACAAGUAUUUCUAGAUCCACCACACCUUACUAAUAUAACUUCAAUAUUACCAUAACCACAACUCAAAACUAAUUGAGAUGAAUCAAACUUCUCUAACUAUUCAAUGCACAUGAAGGUGGAAGUUUUCAUAUUGGAUAACUACCCCUUUUGAGACUACUUUCAUAGCAUAGAUCAACUAACAAGCCACGCACCGCCGUGCUCUAAAAGAUAUUAGUGAAGCACAAAGAGCAAAAUCAACUAGCUCAAAAGAUAUAAGUGAAGCACAUAUGAGCUGAAUUGUCUAACCAAAGGAUAUAAGUGAAGCUCGACAAAAUCAAGGUGAGUGCAUGUCUCUCUCUCUCUAGGUGUGCAGCAAGGAUGAUUGUGACACAACAAAAAUAAAAGACACUUAUGAUACAAGACGCUCCAAGCAAAACACAUAACAUGUGGUGAAUAAAAAUAUAGCCCCAAAUAACAUUACCGAUGGAUUGAAGACGAAAGAGGGGAUGCCUUCCCGGGGCAUCCCCAAGCUUAGGAUUUUACGGCAUCCUUGAAUCAACUUGGGGUGCCUUGGGCAUCCCCAAGCUUGAGCUCUUGCCACUCUUUAUCUUUUUGUCCAUAAGAACUUCACCCAAAACUUGAAAACUUCACAACACGAAACUUAAACAGAAACUCGUGAUAACAUUAGUAUAAGAAAGCAAACCACCACUUCCUUAGGUACUGUAGCAAACUUAAAUUCUACUUAUGCCGAUGUUGGGUUACUGUAUUUUCAAUCUUCCAUGGCUAAUACCCGCCGAUACUAUCCAUAGUUUUAUCAAAAUAAGCAACCAACUCAACAAUAACAUAAUCUGUUAACAGCAGACCAGUCUGUAGCAAUCUGUAUACUUCGUAUACUUCUGGUACUUCAAAAAUUCUGACAAAUUACUACAGUCUAAAGAAUUUGCGUAGCAAUCAGCAGCAAAAAGAAUCAACUCAAAAGCUCUUACAGAAAUAAAUGAAAAUUCUUUUCGUGAGCAGAAAGUUUCUGUCUUUUCCAGCAUGACCAAACGAUCAUCCCCAAGACUAAUCAUAACGGUUUUUCUUGGCACAAACGCAAAAAGAAACACAAAAAACACAAUCAUAACAGAAUUAUGAAAGUGUGGAAAACACGAAACAGAAAGAAAAAGGAUAGAUUCGUUGGGUUUCCUCCCAACAAGCGCUAUUGUUUAACGCCCUUAGCUAGGCAUAAGGUGAUGGAAUCACGUAUAGUCAUCCUUGAUGCUCAAACCAUAAGUAGCCCUCAUCAUAGAUUCAUAAGGCAAUCUUAUUUUGUUUCUAGGAAAAUGCUCCAUGCCCUUUUUUAGGGGAAAUUGAAAUCUAAUAUUCCCUUCCUUCAUAUCGAUGAUAGCACCAAUAGUCCUUAGGAAAGGUCUACCAAGAAUAAUGGGGCAUGAAGGAUUGCAAUCUAUGUCAAGUACAAUGAAAUCCACGGGUACAUAGUUCUUAUUUGCAACAAUAAGAACAUCAUCGAUCCUUCCCAUGGGUUUCUUGACAGUAGAAUCCGCAAGAUGCAAAUUAAGAGAACACUCUUCAAUCUCAUGAAAACCAAGAAUAUCACAUAAAGACUUUGGAAUUGCGGAAACACUAGCACCCAAAUCACACAAAGCAUUGCAUUCAUAGUUUUUGAUUUUGAUUUUGAUAGUAGGUUCCCACUCAUCAUGAAGUUUUCUAGGUAUAGAGACUUCUAAUUCGAGCUUCUCUUCAAGAGAUUUCAUCAUAGCAUCUACGAUAUGUGCGGUAAAGGCUUUGCUUUGGCUAUAAGCAUGUGGAGAGUUUGCAAUGGAUUGCAUCAAAGAAAUGCAUUCAAACAAGGAGCAACUAUCAUAAUUGAAUUCUUGAAAUCCAAAGUGGGAGUUUCAUUACUACCCAAAAUUUUGAUUUCUUCUACUCCACUCUCCACACCUUUAUCAUCAAGAUAGGUGGGCUCCGAAUCAUUGGGGCAUUUUUCAACCAAAGUGGAUUCAUAUCCAGCCCCUUCAUCAAUAUGUUUGACACGCGAAAACAAAGAUUCUAGAGGAGUCACACCAAGCACUUUAAGAUCUUCGUGAUUUGCAUCACUAGAACACACCCUUUUAAACCAUUCAUGCCUAGCGCGAAUUUGGGCGGUUCUUUCUUUGCUCUCAUUCAUGGAGACACGCAUAGCUUUCAAAGUUUCAUCCAAGUUGACCUUGGGAGGAGCACAACUAACUUUUAGAGCAUCAAUAUCACAAGACAUCCUAUCAACGCUCUUAGCCAAAUCGUCAAUUUUGAGUAGUUUUUCCUCUAUGGACGCAUUGAAAAUCUUUUGAGAGUUGAUGAACUCUUUGAUAUUACUCUCUAAAUCAGAGGGUAAUUUGUUAUGAUUUCCAUAAGUGUUGUUGUAGGAAUUGCCAUAACUGUUAGAGGAGUUACUAGGAAAAGGCCUAGGAACAUAGUUUCCUCUAAAAGCAUUGUAGUUGCCAAAAUUGUUCCUACCAACAAAAUUAACGUCCAAACUAGCGUUGCUACUCUCAAUCAAGGAAGAUAGUGGCAUGUCAUUAGGAUCUAAAGGAGCAUUUUUACUAGCAACCAAAUUCAUCAACUCGUCCAUCUUAGCACUAAGCGAGUUAAUUUCUUCUAUAGCGUGUACCUUUUUGCUAGCAGGUGACCUUUCAGUGUGCCACUGAGAGUCGUUGGUCAUGAUAUUGUCUAGGAGUUUUGUAGCGUCUCCUAACGAGAUUUCCAUGAACGUUCCACCUGAGGCGGAGUCCAAGAUAUUGCGAGAAGCGAAAUUCAAACCAGGGUAAAAGAUUUGUAUAAUCAUCCACAAACUCAAGGCAUGAGCGGGACAAUUUCUAAUCAUUAACUUCAUCCUCUCCCAAGAUUGUGCAACGUGUUCAUGAUCAAGUUGCUUGAAAUUCAUGAUAUCGUUACGUAAGGAGAUAAUCUUAGCCGGCGGAAAAUGCUUGGAUAUGUAAGCAUCUUUGCACUUAACCCAAGAAUCGAUACUAUUUUUAGGCAAAGAAGAAAACCAAGUUUUUGCGCGAUCUUGCAACGAGAAAGGAAAAAGCUUCAACUUAAUCACGUCAUUAUCCACAUCUCUUUUCUUUUGCAUAUCGCAAAGCUCAAUGAAGGUAUUGAGAUGGGAUGCGACAUCUUCACUAGGAAGGCCAGAGAAUUGCUCCUUUCAUAAUAAGAUUUGGCAAAGCUGCGUUGAUUUCAUACGAUUCCGCACUAGUGGCGGGAGCAAUCAGAGUACUAAUAAAAUCAUUAUUAUUGGUCUUCGAGAAGUCGCAAAGUUUGGUGUUUUCAGCCAUGAUGACUUCAACAAACAAACAAGCACACAAGCAAGCAAGAAAACCGGCAAAGGAAAACGGCAAAGGACAAAAGAAAGCGACAAAGGAAAAUGGCUAAAAGGCAAAAGAAAAAGGACAAAGGAGAAAGGCAAAUGAAAACGGCAAAUGUGAAGUGGGGGAGAGGAAAACGAGAGGCAUCUCGCAAAAAAGUAAAUGCAAGAGAUGAGUUUGUGACACCUACUUGGAUAGAUGACUUGAUGUCUCCUCCUUGCGCCAGAAAUCAGCACGUUGAAGAGAGACUAUUCUUGACUUCAUAUCCCCGGCAACGGCGCCAGAAAUCCUUCUGAUACUGCGACAACAGACCUUCCCUGGUACGGCGCCAGGAAUCCUGCUGCUACGGCUACGCCUUUAGGGACUUCGUUGGCAAAUAUGCAAAGGAUCUCCCCGCGGCCUUGGAGCAUUGCGUUGGUGUUCUCUUGAAGAGGAAAGGGUGAUGUAGCACAGCGGCGGGAAGUAUUUCCCUCAGUUUUGAGAACCAAGGUAUCGAACCAAUGGAAGAUCUCGUCAAGUCUCAAGUACCUGCACAAACACAAAGAGCUUGCACCCAACGCUAUGAAGGGGUUGUCAAUCCCUUAUAGAUUGUUUGCAAAGUGAGAACUGAAAGCAACAAAGUAAACAAGCAAAGUAAAAGUGAAAGUGGAAACGAUAGUUGUGAAUAGGCCCGGGGCUGUAGUGUUCACUAGUGGCUUCUCUCAUGAAAUCAAGUAGACGGUGGGUGAACGAAUUACUGUCGAGCAAUUGAUAGAACCGCGCAAAGUUGGGACGUUAUCUAAGGCAAGGAUUAUAUCUAUAGGCAUCACCUCCAAAACAAGUAGACCGAUACUUUCUGCAUCUACUACUAUUACUCCACACGUCGACCGUUAUCCAGCAUGCAUCUAGUGUAUUAAGUCCAAAAGAACAGAGUAACGCCUUAAGCAAGAUGACAUGAUGUAGAUGGACAAUCUCAUAUCUACGAUAAAAACCCAUCUUGUUACCAUUGAUGGCAACAACACGAUGCGUGCCUUGCUGCCCCUUCUGUCACUGGGAAAGGUCACCAUACAGUAUGAACCCAAAACCAAGCACUUCUCCCAUUGCAAGAAUCAUAGAUCUAGUUGGCCAAAUAAAACCCAAGACUCGGAGAGACUUACAAGGAUAUCAAAUCAUGCAUAUAAGAAAUCAGCAAAGACUCAAAUAUAAUUCAUAGAUAAUCUGAUCAGAAAUCCACAAUUCAUCGGAUCUCGACAAACACACCGCCAAAGAGGAUUACAUCGGAUAGAUCUCCAUGAAGAUCAUGAAGAACUUUGUAUUGAAGAUCCAAGAGAGAGAAGAAGCCAUCUAGAUACUAACUACGGACCCGUAGGUCUGAAGUGGACUACUCACGAGUCAUUGGAGAGGCGAUGAUGUUGAUGUAGAAGCCCUCCAACUCCAAAGUCCCCUCCGGCAGGGCACCGGGAAGGGUCUCCAGAUGAGAUCUCGCGGAAACGGAAGCUUGCGGCGGUGGAAAAGUGUUUUCGUGGAUGCCCUCAUUUUUUCUGGAUUUUUAGGGAAUUUAUAGGCCAAAGACCUAGGACAGGGGAGCGCCAGGGGGGCCACAAGCUUGGUUGCUGCGGCCUCCCCUUGCCGCGACAAUAGGGCUUGUGGGGCCCCUGUGGGCCCACUGCCUUGGCCCUCAAGCCUCCCGAUCUUCUUCCGUUCUGGAAAAAAUUAUUUCGGGGAUUUUAUUCCGUUUGGACUCCGUUCCAAAAUCAGAUCUAAAAAGAGUCAAAAACACAGAAAAACAGGAACUCACACUUGGCACUGAAUUAAUAAGUUAGUCCAAAAAAGAUAUAAAAGGUAAACAAAACAUCCAAAGUUGGCAAGAUAAGAGCGUGAAACCAUCAAAAAUUAUAGAUACGUUUGAGACGUAUCACCAGUCAAAUGGUUAAGCCACGUCUGAGUGUCUAGAAACAUCUAGAAGGUUCUUCAAAUGGGAUUUGCAUGGACUGGGGUAGGGUGCGGACCCUUAUACUGCAACAAGAAAAGGCUGAAAAUAACCACUUCUGCUUCGGUACACCCUCGUAAACACAAGGACGGUCCAGAUUAAUUGAUACCUCUUCAUAAUAAAGGAUAGGAUGAUCAUAUUUACGUAUACGCUGUGUUUGUUUUAUACGCACACAUCUUUCUCUGCUGGGCAGGCAUGUUUAUGUCUUCUCUAUUUUUUAAACCGUCAUAAAGUAAUGGAAGAAGCAUGAUUCGAACCAUCCAUCUUUACGUAAUAACACAGCUGGAGUAACCAACUAGGCAACAACACCCCAAAUACUACAAUUGUUUUUUUAUCCUAAUAAACAACUUCAGGAACGCACUAUUCUCUGUUUUGUUUUCUUNCCUUUUACUUUCUAAAUGCGUUAGCUUUUUAAACCUCACACCAUUGUUUUUUAAAUGAUGAUUUUUUCAAGUUCGUCAAUUUUUCUUCAAAAUAGGUGAUUUUUUCACAAAUUGAUGAAGCUUAUUUUUCUAAAUUCGUGAACUAUUCCUCAAAUAGGCGAACUUUUCUUGAAAGCUAAUAUUUUUUUAUAAAGUUGAUGAUCUGUUAUUUUAAAAAUUGAUGAACUAUUACUUAAACCGUAAUUCUGUUAUUCUAAACCCUAAGUUGCUGGGAAGUUUUUAACAACUUUGGACAAUGUGUUCAAAUUUUUAAAAAUUUCAUACAUAAUUUUAAAUUUCAAAAUUGUGCACAGAUUAAACCGUAAAUUUCGUAUUCUAAACUAUUUUUAAAUUUAUUGAAUAAGUUUCAAAAGAAUAAUAAAUAUCAAAAAGGAGAAAAUGAAAAAGUUCAAGAUAUUUAAAAAUCACGAAUUUUUUAAAAAGAAAAUAGGGUCAAAAAGAAAUACGAAAGAAAAAGAAGCUGACAGGCAAAAUUUAAACCAAAAUAGUGAAACCGCUGUGGUUUUUAUAUAAGAUAAAUAUCAUACUUGGAUUUGUCAUAUCAACUAACGUGUCCUGUUGGUCGCUGGCGCUUGCAUGUUUGCUACAGGUUUGGAGUUUGAAACUUGGUAGGAGCAUAAUUUCUGAACUUUAGACAAGAAAGUAGGAGCAUAUUUUUGAACUUUAAUAGAAGAAAAGAAAAUGGUGUAUUUGGCCCGGUCAAGGGUGUAUAUGUAGUGGAUCUAUCGUACAUACGGAAAUUGAUGUGAAAGGUCCAUAUCAUCCUUUAUACAGUUUGUAAGGCGGGAAGCGGGGCUCGAAAAUAACCAAUUGAUAGAUAUAUGGUCAAUACACACAUUGAUGAUAUGGUCUCAUGCCAUGAGGAAAUAAUUCAAAUGAUAAAGCUCUUCAUGUGGUGCUUGCAAAAAUGAACCGGAGCUAGCUACUAGUAUGGUCCAAUUCAAUCACCUUAAUCUCUCUUUUUUAUAUAGCGUCAGUCUAAUUUUAAUCUUAAUUAUAAUUUAUUCCAACCUAUGUUGUCUUGUCAUGUUCUAACCUUUUUUGAGCAAAAGUCAUGUUCUAACUUGAGACUGGAAAACGCUGGAAUUGAAGAACCCGGUUGGCCUUCAGUGACAAGUGUUGCUACUAAUUAAACACAUGUCGUGCCCUAAUUAAAGUCUGUUUGUAGUAACCGAUCACUUACAAGGUUCUUUUUGGUAGUGAGGACUAAUCCAGAGCAAUAGAUCCAGGAGUUGAUUUGUUGCUAUUUUGUCGACUAGUAUCCACAAAGGCCCGGCCAACGAAUGGCAUAACACCCAGUUGAGCUUCAUUCGUGAGUACAUAAAAAGCAAGAAUAAACUAUUGUUUCAUAGGUUUAUUUUGUUAGUUUGAAACUCGCGACGCAAAUGUCAUGACGAAUUACCCAACUAAACUCAUGACCCGUCACAACUCACAACCCCAUUUCCAUUUCGCUACACAAGUUUGUAAUGACUAACCAACUUUAGUACAUCUAUCAUGAGCUCCCGUUGCAUAUACUUAUAUAUAUGAAAGCCAGCCCGGAUAGGAUUGCAGAAAAAUUCGACAAGCUGGUUAUAAAUGGGAACUCCAAAUAAGACACAUAGGAAUGCAGCGAGAUUAGUCGAGGUGUGUUUGGCAGGGUUUUUGGUACAAAUUGAAAAUAUUAAAUAUCUUAGCGCACCCGAAUCGGUGUGAAAACUACAGUAUAUAUCAUACAUGCUAUCGGGUUUGAGAUAUGAGAGGAAACUGAAAAGGAGUGAGCACAAAUUGGAAAGGAGGGGAUGACAACUUAGCUAUGAGCAGCAAGUAAUCAAUCAAGAACGGGAAGAUAGGAAUGUGUGGGUUAUUACAUGUUCUAAAAUGUAGGAACAAAUUCAAUCUAGCUUAAUUCUAUAGUUCAUUCCCACCUGCACCGUCUUGUCAUGAUCUAACUUGCGGUUGGAAACGCGGACUUUGACGCGAGGAAGGCGCAGUUUCAUUGGAGCACCCCUUUGGAAAGCCGCCGUGAAAGAUAACUAUCGUCUGUUAGGCCCUUUUUUUCCUUUCUUCUAAUUACAUGCUUGAUCCAUUGAUCACCAUCCCCUUAUUUUUUUUCACCAUGUGCUACCUCCUAUUUUUAAUAUAUGACAGCCAUCGCUGGAACUUUCAAAAAAAAGUUCUUCUGCAGGAACCUGUACAUAUGAUUGACGACGAAUCGCGUGAACCAGCCCUCACGCGCUUCCCGCCGCUCGUCGUCAGAAUCGCCCUCCCGAUCAGGAAGUAUCGUGAUUAGUCAAGAAACUAGAAGUUAUAUUGUCUUGUCUUAUACUACAAAUUGAUCAUGUAUUCUUACAUAUAUGAUCAUGAGGAUUAAGCAAUACAACAAUUAUUUCGUCGAUCUCUCUUUCCCCUUUAACAUGGUAUGUGCCGCAACUUAUUAAACCUAGCCGCCGCCCGUCGCUUUCGCCCGCACGCAGCCCUAGGGCGGUCGGUCUUCAUGACCGCUGUCGGGGGCCGCGCCACACGUACCUAGGGUUCGUCCGCCGGUCGUGUUGCCGACUGCCCUAGAGAGUCAUUUUCCCAAUAUCUUGAUCCGAGUUUUCUCUUUUCCGACGGUCACUUUGAUCGGCAUUUUCUUUUGGUUUUCCGAUAAAAGAUCGGUUUGCGUCGCCCGCCGCCACCGUCGACUAUCGCGCCUCUACUCCGAUAUCGGCGUGGUCCAUCUUCUUCACCGGCCCUUCGGCCUCCCGCGAUGCGGCGGCCCGGCCCACACGGCCGUCGACCGCGCGUCAACGCUCCCGUUGCCCUGUGCCGGCCCUAGUCGUCCUUCUUUCAACCGGAACUGCUUCAUCAUCACCCGCCUCCACUAUCGCCUCAUAUGGCCGCGCACCGACUGCCUCAGCCCGGAUCCAGGCUCCGACCGCGUCGGGUGCCUUGGGCUGGCUGCCGUCUCCAGCCGCGUUGGCCUCGCCACCUGCCAUGGGUCGGCUGCUAGCUACUGGUUGUGUUGGCCUUGCGGGCUGCCUCGCGUCGGCUGCGUCGUCGGCCGCGUCAGGCCGGCUGCCGGCUUUGGAUGCGACCUUCAUCGGCCGCGUUAGGCUGGCUGCGGUCGGCCGCGUCGUCGGGUCGGGUGCCUCGCUGGCCGCGUUUGUCCGGAUGUCGGCUCCGGUUGCGACUGUUGUCACCGGUUUCAUCUCAGACGUCGCGACCCCGCCUUCACCGAGCAACGUCCCCGACCUCGUGCACGAUCGGAUUGGUCACCCGACCGUGUGCGAUCCAUGUCAUAUACGUCAUGCGAUCGAUCUGGCCCGUGUGUUGCGCGCGCCUCCGCAGGUCCCGUGAAGAUUGUCCCUAGGUUAAGCGCGCCCCUUCACUGAUCGAGCAACGGGCAGCCACUGCAUCGCCACGUCGGGCUGCAGUGCCGCCGCCUCGUGGUUCUCUCCGCGGUUGCCCCGACCCGCGAGCCGCCGCUACACCGUCCCUUCAGGAUGUAGCGUGGCGGCACGCGGUCCCCGCCAUCGCCCGAGGCCAUCCCAUGGCAGCACCGACUCGCACACCACCGUUGCGUCGCCCCUUUAGGCCGUAGCCUCGCGGCUCGCGGUCCACGCUGCCAUCUCUGCGUGUCGCCUCUGCGUGGUAUGCGUCGCACUGCCUCCCUUGGCGUGGGAACGCCACCGUUCGCGCCAGUCUUCGUCAUGUUGUCGGAUUCUUCCUCGCCUACUUUGAGCAUCGCCGCCGCACUCCUAACCAGCCGCCAUGGCCGUCGCUCCUCUUCGGUGACACCGUAGCUCACCCACCCGAGCCACACCACACCCUUUGUUCGGUGCCGUCGUAGCUCGCCCACCCGAGCCGCGGCACCCGUCCACCCCCUUCGCCAUCCGUCCAACACUAGCUCAUCACCAGCGUCGCCUCGUCGUCGUCCAAUCAUAUUGGACAUUGCCAAGGGCAUGCGUGAUAUUCAUGAAGAGGGUAGGUUAAAAAGUUCUCAUCCCUUAAACCACAAAAAUAUUGACAACUCCAUUGGUAAAGUGGAUGGUUUUGGACCGUGCAACAAUGAAUAUGGAUCAAAUCAAGGUUUUGAUUGUGAUGAGAGGAACACACACAUAUCUAGCACGUGAAUGGUUGUGUUUCAGAUAAUUGAAAAAGACUGGAUGUCUACAACUUUGGAGUUUGUCAUGGAAAAAGUUGGUGGAAGAAAAAUGUUGAAAACUCCUAGCCGAGGAGGGUGUUUGGCUCAUAAAUCUAUAAAAAGUGUUGCCAAGGACGCCCAAAUAGUAUAUUCGGAGGCACCGUAGGGGCGGAGGGUUGGUCGAUUUGGGGAUACCUUGUGGAGAGUUGAUGCGAUCCUUUCUUCAAUAGCUUGUGGCAUCACUUCAUCAUCUAUGUGGUUGUCCUGGGGUGGUUAGUUUCUUACGGGCAACACUAGCAGGUAUCUACCUUCUGAGGAGCAACACCAGCGAGUAACUACUUAACGAGGGCAAUUCUAGUCGAUAGCCGAUUUUCGGGAGUUAUUCUGUAAGCUCUUGGAAGGGAGAACGAUGCCUUUCUCCAUAUAGGGUGCCUUUUCUCCAAGACUGGAUGAGGCCACACUGUGUUUCUCAACAGGUCAUGCUGCUCUUUCCCGUGUCGCUCCACGUCAUGUUGUGCAUGUCACAUGGGGUCGUGUCGCGCGUUCCAACAUCACAUCAUACCUACAACUGUUGGAUGGACAUGCGUGCCCUACUCCUCCAGGUUGUGUCCUCCUCCCGACUCUCCUUCACUUCUCCUAAGUGAUCGAGUGAGAGCUCAAGACUUUGCCCCUCCCUUUGAAGUGAGUGGAGGCCUUCUAUUGGUGGGUCAAAGGUGGAAGGUUGAGGAAAUUACACGACAUGCCAGCAUGUAUUUUACAAGUGCACCCUUGCUUUUUUUUCUCUAGCUUUAAGGGUGUGAUGGUAAUUUAGAAGGGAAUAUUCUUAUGGUCUUUAGCAUAUUCCUUGAGGUUUUUGCUGGUCUUUCUAACUAUCUACAAAUACUACCUUCGCCUCCUCCUGCACUCCUCGUGCACGAGAUUUGAAGAAUGGACUCCAAGGAUUAUAUCUUUUCUCGGGGAUUUAGUGGUCUUGUGCUAUUCAACCCUGAAUUCCGAGAAUAUCCCAUCGCAAAGGAUCCUUGACUUCUGGUUAACUCUCGGAGCUUUCGAUCCUUAGAAUCAUAUUCUGUGAGCUUCAUGCCCCAUUCUUGGUAUUUAGGACAAUUUCCAUGCCCUUUUCUAUGGGACCCACUAGGCUGUCGUUGAGCCGGGGGUGCUAUGGCCGGCAUGCCAAAUUCUCCAUCUUUCGUGGAUGGAUAUUGCGUGUCAAAUGGUUAAGCCAGGUGUGAGUGUCUAGAAACACCUAGAAGGUUCUUCAAAUGGGAUUUGCAUGUACUNNNNNNNNNNNNNNNNNNNNNNNNNNNNNNNNNNNNNNNNNNNNNNNNNNNNNNNNNNNNNNNNNNNNNNNNNNNNNNNNNNNNNNNNNNNNNNNNNNNNGUUGGUGGAAGAAAAAUGUUGAAAACUCCUAGCCGAGGAGGGUGUUUGGCUCAUAAAUCUAUAAAAAGUGUUGCCAAGGACGCCCAAAUAGUAUAUUCGGAGGCACCGUAGGGGCGGAGGGUUGGUCGAUUUGGGGAUACCUUGUGGAGAGUUGAUGCAAUCCUUUCUUCAAUAGCUUGUAGCAUCACUUCAUCAUCUAUGUGGUUGUCCUGGGGUGGUUAGUUUCUUACGGGCAACACUAGCAGGUAGCAACCUUCUGAGGAGCAACACCAGCGAGUAACUACUUAACGAGGGCAAUUCUAGUUGACAUCCGAUUUUCGGGAGAUAUUCCGUAAGCUCUUGGAAGGGAGAAUCAUGCCUUUCUCCAUAUAGGGUGCCUUUGCUCUGAGACUGGAUGAGGCCACACUGUGUUUCUCAACAGGUCAUGCUGCUCCUUCCCGUGUCGCUGCACGUCAUGUUGUGCAUGUCACAUGGGGUCAUGUCGCGUGUUCCGACAUCACAUCAUACCUACAAGUGUUGGACGGGCAUGUCGAGCCCUACUCCUCUAGGUUGUGUCCUCCUCCUGACUCUCCUUCACUUCUCCUAAGUGAUCGAGUGAGAGCUCAAGCCUUUGCCCCUCCCUUUGAAGUGAGUGGAGGCCUUCUAUUGGUGCGUCAAAGGUGGAAGGUAGAGGAAAUUACACGACAUGCCAGCAUGUAUUUUACAAGUGUACCCUUGCUUUUUUUCUCUAACUCUAAGGGUGUGAUGGUAAUUUAGAAGGGAAUAUUCCUAUGGUCUUUAGCAUAUUCCUUAAGGUUUUUGCUGCUCUUGCUAACUAUCUACACUAGUAAGUAGCAAAUGCUUUGCAUGUUUAGAAUCAGUCUCAUCUCAAAUUUAAAUUCCCAAACUUUAGUGUUGAUUAUCACAAUGUUGUAAAAUUAUAGAAUUUUUAGUAGGGAAGCAAUAAAGCAAUCCAAUAAGUCGGCCAUUUACACUGACUUAAUUAUACAGGUUGUUUGUAGAAACACCAUAAAAGUUGGUUGGUCUAAUAUCCUUGGCUUACUAUGUAUGGUGUAAGAAGAAUUAUUCUCAGACUAUAAAUAUAUUUUAAAACAUCAAAUUUAAACUAAAAGAAUGAUUCAUAAACGGGUUUUCAUAAACUGAAUCUCAUCAUAUCAAUUCAUAAACGGGUUUACAGAACAAUCUAGCUAAGUACUACGUAUAUGAAUUGGGAUAAUAUAAGAAAAUAUAGAUUACAACCCGAAUCGAUUUACUAUAAAAAAGAGUAUGUCUCCGUGUGUUCUAUGGUUGAGACUUGAGACCCCCUCGCUUCCAUUUAUCCAUCCAAAGCUCCCUUUAAUCAUGCAAUGAAUUUUUCAAACCACCAUUGACUACUUCUCACGUCAAUCUAUGGAUCCUUAUCUUGCACUACAGCUCGCUUCCAUUUCUGCAUUAAGAACCAUCUCAAAACAUAACCUUCCCAUCAACGCGCCGCUGGCCCUCACAGACUCUGAUGCGUAUGCCAUGGGAGGUAAGGUUGCCCUGAAAGCUACACACACAGACACUGUGGGCAACAACAGUAAGCAGCUGAACUUUUUCUGCAUUGGUAAACUGUCGAUAGUUCUGGAAGGCAGCAGUAUUGUUGCUGCUACAGUAGCGUGUACUGUUGAUGCGAAUCCCAAUAUUUUCAACCAUUGGAUGGACUAUCUCAACGGCUCGGGUUGAUUCUUGGUCUUGAAAUUUAAAAGUUUCAAACUGGUACACUAUAUAAUAGUAUGGAAAUACUGCCUUUGCCUCCUCCUGCACGAGAUUUGAAGAAUGGACUCCAAGGAUUAUAUCUUUUCGCGGGGAUUUAGGGGUCUUGUGCUAUUCAUCCCCGAAUUCCGAGAAUAUCCCAUCGCUAAGGAUCCUUGACUUCUGGUUAACUCUUGGAGCUUUCGAUCCUUAGAAUCAUAUUCUGUGAGCUUCAUGCGUCAUUCUUGGUAUUUAGGACAAUUUCCAUGCCCUUUUCUAUGAGACCCACUAGGCCGUCGUUGAGCCGGGGUUGCUAUGGCCGGCAUGCCAAAUUCUCCAUCUUUCGUGGAUGGAUAUUGCCUGUCAAAUGGUUAAGCCACGUUUGAGUUUCUAGAAACAUCUAGAAGGUUCUUCAAAUGGGAUUGGCAUGCAUGUACUGGGGUAGGGGGGUAGCGUGCAGACCCUUAUAUUGCAACAAGAAAAGGCUGAAAAUAACCAAUGGAUAGAUAUAUGGUCGAUACACACAUUGAUGAUAUGGUCUCAUGCCAUCAGGAAAUAAUUCAAAUGAUGAAGCCCUUCAUGUGGUGCUUGCAAAAAUGAACCGGAGCUAGCUACUAGUAUGGCCUAAUUCAAUCACCUUAAUCUCUCUAUUUUUAUAGCAUCAAUCUAAUUUUAAUCUUAAUGAUAAUUUAUUCCAACCUACGUUGUCUUGUCAUGUUCUAACUUUUUUUAGCAAAAGUCAUGUUCUAACUUGAGACUGAAAAACGUCGGAAUUGAAGAACCCGGUUGGCUUUCAGUGAUAAGUAUUGCUACUAACCACAUGUCGUGCCCUAAUUAAAGUCUGUUUGUAGUAACCGAUCACAUAUAAGGUUCUUUUUGGUAGUGAGGACUAAUCCAGAGCAAUAGAUCCAUGAGUUGAUUUGUUGCCAUUUUGUCGACUAGUAUCCACAAAGGUCCGGCCAACGAAUGACUCAACACCCAGUUGAGCUUCAUUCGUGAGUACAUAAAAAGCAAUAAUUAACUAGUGUUUCAUAGGUUUAUUUUAUUAGUUUGAUGUAUCUUUUACAUAAGGCUAUCAUCGAAUAACCAAUAAAAACUCGUGGCGCAAAUGUCAUGACGAAUUACACAACUAAACUCAUGACCCGUCGCAACUCACAACCCCAUUUCCAUUUCGCUACACAAGUGUGUAGUGACCAACCAACUUCGGUACAUUUAUCAUGAGCCCCUGUUACAUAUACUUAUAUAUAUAUAUAUAUGAAAGGCAGCCCCGAAUAGGAUUGCAGAAAAAGUCGGCAAUCUGGUUAUAAAUGGGAACUCUGAAUAGGACGCAUAGGAAUGCAGCGAGAUUAGUUGAGGUGUGUGUGACAGAGUUUUUGAUACCGAGUGAAAAUAUUAAAUAUCUUACUACCUUAGUGCACCCGGAUCGAUGUGAAAACUACAGUAUAUAUCAUGCAUGCUAUUUGUGAUAUGAGAGGAAACUGAAAAGGAGUGAGCACAAAUUGGAAAGAUUGGGCUGAGAACUUAGCUACAAGCAGCAAGUAAUCCUAUAGUUCAUUCUGACCUGCACCGUCUUGUCGUGAUCUAACUUGCGGUUGGAAACGUGGAGUUGAAGUUCUUCUGCAGGAACCUGUACACGUGAUUGAUGACGAAUCGCCUCAACCAGCCCUCACGUGCUUCCCGCCGCUCGCCGUCAGGAUCGCCCUCCCGACCAGGAAGUAUCGUAGUUAGUCAGGAAACUAGAAAUUGUUCUAUCUUGUCUUAUACUUUAAAUUGAUCAUGUAUUCUUGCAUAUAUGAUUACGGGGCUUAAGCAAUACAACAAUUAUUUCAUCAAUCUCUGUUUCCCCUUUAACAUGGUAUAUGCCGCAAGUUCUUAAACCUAGCCACCGCCUGUCGCUUUCGCCCGCGCACAGCCCUUGGGGCGGUGGUCUCCAUGACCGCUGUCGGGGGCCCUGCCGCCCGUACCUAGGGUUUGUCCGCCGGUCGUGUUGGCCGGCUGCCCUAGAGAGUCAUUUUCCCGGUCUCUUGAUCCGGGUUUUCUCUUUUUCGCCGGCCACUUUGAUCGGCAUUUUCUUCUGGUUUUUCGAUAAAAGAUCGGUUUGCGUCGCCCGCCGCCGCCGUCGACUAUCGCGCCUCUACUCCGAUAUUGGCGUGGUCCGGCUUCUUCACCGGCCCGACGGCCUCCCGCGAUGCGGCGGCCCGGCCCACACCGUCGUCGACCGCGCGUCAACGCUCCCGUUGCCCUGCACCGGCCAUAGUCGUCCUUCUUCAACCGGAACUGCUUCAUCAUCACCCGCCUCCACUAUCAACUCAUACGGCCGCGCACCGACUGCCUCAGCCCGGCUCCAGGCUUCGACCGCGUCGGGUGCCUUGGGCUGGCUGCCGUCUCCAGCCGCGUUGGCCUCGCCGCCUGCCACGGGCCGGCUGCUGGCUGCUGGUUGUGUUGGCCUUGCGGGCUGCCUCGUGUCGGCUGCAUCAUCGGCCGCGUCAGGCCGGCUGCCGGCUCUGGAUGCGACCUUAAUCGGCCGCGUUAGGCUGGCUGCGGUCGGCUGCGUCGUCGGGUCGGGUGCCUCGCCGACCGCGUCUGUCCGGAUGUCGGCUCCGGUUGCGACUGUUGUCACCGGUUUCAUCUCAAACGUCGCGAGCCCACCUUCACCGAGCAAUGUCCCCGACCUCGUGCACGAUCGGAUUGGUCACCCGACCGUGUGCGAUCCAUGUCAUAUACGUCAUGUGAUCGAUCUGGCCCGUGUGUUGCGUGCGCCUCCGCAGGUCCCGUGAAGAUUGUUCCUAGGUUAAGCACGCCCCUUCACUGAUCAAGCAACGGGCUGCCACUACAUCACCCCGUGGGGUGCAGUGCCGCCGCCUCAUGGUUCUCUCCGCGGUUGCCCCGACCCGCGAGCCGCCGCUACACCGUCUCUUCAGGUUGUAGCGCGGCGGCACGCGGUCCCCGCCACCGCCCGAGGCCGUCCCCGUGGCAGCACCGACUCGCGCACCACCGUUGUGUCGCCCCUUUGGGCCGUAGCCUCGCGGCUCGCGGUCCACGCCGCCAUCUCUGCGUGUUGCCUCUAUGUGGUACGCGUCGCUCUGCCUCCCUUGGCACGGGAACGGCACCGUUCGUGCCGGUCUUCGUCAUGUUGUCUGAUUCUUCCUCGCCUACUUCGGGCAUCGCCGCGGCACUCCUAACCAGCCGCCACGGCCGUCGCUCCUCUUCGGUGACACUGCGGCUCACCCACCCAAGCCACACCACACCCUUUCUUCGGUGCCGUCGUAGCUCGCCCACCCGAGCCGCGGCACCCGUCCACCCCCUUCGCCAUCCGUCCAACACUAGCUCAUCGGCAGCGUCGCCUCGUCGUUGUCCAAUCAUAUUGGACAUUGCUAAGGGCAUGCGUGAUAUUCAUGAAGAGCGUAGGUUAAAAAGUUCUCAUCCCCUAAACCACACAAAUAUUGACAACUCAAAUGUGGAUGGUUUUGGACCGUGCAACAAUGAAUAUGGAUCAAAUCAAGGUUUUGAUUGUGAUGAGAGGUACAUCCACAUUUCUAGCACGUGAAUGGUUGUGUUUCUGAUAAUUGAAAAAGGUGGAUGUCUACAACUUUGGAGUUUGCCAUGGAAAAAGUUGGUGGAAGAAAAAUAUUGAAAACUCCUAGCCGAGGAGGGUGUUUGGCUCAUAAAUCUAUAAAAAGUGUUGCCAAGGACGCCCAAAUAGUAUAUUCGGAGGCACCGUAGGGGCGGAGGGUUGGUCGAUUUGGGGAUACCUUGUUGAGAGUUGAUGCAAUCCUUUCUUCAAUAGCUUGUGGCAUCACUUCAUCAUUUAUGUGGUUGUCCUGGGGUGGUUAGUUUCUUACGGGCAACACUAGCUGGUAGCAACCUUCUGAGAAGCAACACCAGCGAGUAACUACUUAACGAGGGCAAUUCUAGUCGACAGCCGAUUUUCGGGAGAUAUUCCGUAAGCUCUUGGAAGGGAGAACGAUGCCUUUCUCCAUAUAGGGUGCCUUUCCUCCGAGACUGGAUGAGGCCACACUGUGUUUCUCAACAGGUCAUGCUGCUCCUUCCCGUGUCGCUCCACGUCAUGUUGUGCAUGUCACAUGGGGUCGUGUCGCGCGUUCCGACAUCACAUCAUACCUACAAGUGUUGGACGGGCAUGUCGUGCCCUACUCCUCCAGGUUGUGUCCUCCUCCCAACUCUCCUUCACUUCUCCUAAGUGAUCGAGUGAGAGCUCAAGCCUUUGCCCCUCCCUUUGAAGUGAGUGGAGGCCUUCUAUUGGUGCGUCAAAGGUGGAAGGUUGAGGAAAUUACACGACAUGCCAGCAUGUAUUUUACAAGUGCACCCUUGCUUUUUUUCUCUAACUCUAAGGGUGUGAUGGUAAUUUAGAAGGGAAUAUUCUUAUGGUCUUUAGCAUAUUCCUUGAGGUUUUUUCUGGUCUUUCUAACUAUCUACAAAUACUACCUUCGCCUCCUCCUACACUCCUCCUGCACGAGAUUUGAAGAAUGGACUCCAAAGAUUCUAUCCUUUCUCGGGGAUUUAGGGGUCUUGUGCUAUUCAUCCCCGAAUUCCGAGAAUAUCUCAUCGCAAAGGAUCCUGGACUUUUGGUUAACUCUCGGAGCUUUCGAUCCUUAGAAUCAUAUUCUGUAUGCUUCAUGCGCCAUUCUUGGUAUUUAGGACAAUUUCCAUGCCCUUUUCUAUGGGACUCACUAGGCCGUCGUUGAACCAGGGGUGCUAUGGCCGGCAUGCCAAAUUCUCCAUCUUUCGUGGAUGGAUAUUGCAUGUCAAAUGGUUAAGCCAGGUGUGAGUGUCUAGAAACAUCUAGAAGGUUCUUCAAAUGGGAUUUGCAUAUGUACUGGGGUAGGGUGCAGACCCUUAUACUGCAACAAGAAAAGGCAGAAAAUAACCAAUUUAGAAUGGGAAGAAAGAAAUGUGUGGGUUAUUACAUGUUCUAAAAUGUAGAAACAAAUUCAAUCUAGCUUAAUCCUAUAGUUCAUUCCGACCUGCACCGUCUUGUUAUGAUCUAACUUGCGGUUGGAAACGCGGAGUUGAAGUUCUUCUGCACACGAACUUGUACAUGUGAUUGACGACGAAUCGCGUGAACCAGCCCUUGCGCGCUUCCCGCCGCUCGCCGUCAGGAUCGCCCUCCCAAUCAGGAAGUAUCGUGAUUAGUAAUGAAACUAGAAAUUAUUCUAUCUUAUACUUUAAAUUGAUCAUGUAUUCUUACAUAUAUGAUCAUGGGACUCAAGCAAUACAACAGUUAUUUCAUCAAUCUCUCUUUCCUCUUUAACAUGGUAUGUGCCGCAAGUUCUUAAACCUAGCCGCCGCCCGUCGCUUUCGCCCGAGCUCAGCCCUAGGGAAGUCGGGCUCCAUGACCGCUGUCGAGGGCCGCGUCGCCCAUACCUAGGGUUCGUCCACCUGUCGUAUUGGUCGGCUGCCCUAGCGAGUCCUUUUCCCGAUCUCUUCAUCCAGGUUUUUUCUUUUUCGCCGGUCACUUUGAUCGGCGUUUUCUUUUGGUUUUCCGAUAUAAGAUCCCGCCGCCGCAGUCGACUAUCGCGCCUCUACUCCGAUAUCGGCGCGGUCCGGCUUCUUCACCGGCCCGACGGCCUCCCGCGAUGUGGCGGCCCGGCCCACACGACCGUCGACCGCGUGUCAACACUCCCAUUGCCCUGCACCGGCCCUAGCCAUAUUUCUUCAACCGGAACUGCUUCAUCAUCACCCGCCUCCACUAUCGCCUCAUACGGUCGCGCACUAGCAGCCUCAGCCCGGCUGCGUCGGGCCGGCUCCAGGCUCCGGCCGCGUCGACUGUUGGAAUUAUGCCCUAGAGGCAAUAAUAAAUGUAUAGUUAUUAUUAUAAUUCCUGUAUCAAGAUAAUAGUUUAUUAUCCAUGCUAUAAUUGUAUUGAAUGAAGACUCAUUUACAUGUGUGGAUACAUAGACAAAACACCGUCCCUAGCAUGCCUCUAGUUGGCUAGCCAGUUGAUCGAUGAUAGUCAGUGUCUUCUGAUUAUGAACAAGGUGUUGUUGCUUGAUAACUGGAUCACGUCAUUAGGAGAAUCACGUGAUGGACUAGACCCAAACUAAUAGACGUAGCAUGUUGAUCGUGUCAUUUUGUUGCUACUGUUUUCUGCGUGUCAAGUAUUUAUUCCUAUGACCAUGAGAUCAUAUAACUCACNUAAUACAACAUCACACACAAGCCUUGCAAGCAAUGUAACUUAGUGUAAGUUGCGGGAUCUUGUAUUACGGAACGAGUAAAGAGACUUGCCAGUAAACGAGAUUGAAAUAGGUAUACGGAUACUGACGAUCGAAUCUCGGGCAAGUAACAUACCGAAGGACAAAGGGAAUGACAUACGGGAUUAUAUGAAUCCUUGGCACUGAGGUUCAAACGAUAAGAUCUUCGUAGAAUAUGUAGGAUCCAAUAUGGGCAUCCAGGUCCCGCUAUUGGAUAUUGACCGAGGAGUCUCUCGGGUCAUGUCUACAUAGUUCUCGAACCCGCAGGGUCUGCACACUUAAGGUUCGACGUUGUUUUAUGCGUAUUUGAGUUAUAUGGUUGGUUACCGAAUGUUGUUCGGAGUCCCGGCUGAGAUCACGGACGUCACGAGGGUUUCCGGAAUGGUCCGGAAACGAAGAUUGAUAUAUAGGAUGACCUCAUUUGGUUACCGGAAGGUUUUCGUGCAUUACCGGAAAAGUUUCGGGCUCAUCGGUAGUGUACCGGGAGUGCCGGGAGGGGUGCCGGGGACCAUCGGGAGGGGUGUCACGCCCCAAGGGGUCUCAUGGGCUAUGGGAAGAGAUAAACCAGCCCCUAGUGGGCUGGAAUAAGUUCCCACUAAGGCCCAUAAGGUUUGAGAAGGAAAAAACACAAGGUGGAAAGAGUUUCCAAGUGGGAAGGUGGAAUCCUACUCCAAGUAGGAUUGGAGUAGGACUCCUCCACCAAUUUCGGCCAAACCUUUAGGUGUUGAGGCUGCCUCCUCCCCUCCCUCCCACCUAUAUAUACGGAGGUUUUAGGGCUGAUUUGAGACGACUUUCUCACGGCUGCCCGACCACAUACCUCCAUAGUUUUUCCUCUAGAUCGUGUUUCUACGGAGCUCGGGCGGAGCCCUGCUGAGACAAGAUCAUCACCAACCUCCGGAGCGCCGUCACGCUGCCGGAGAACUCUUCUACCUCUCCGUCUCUCUUGCUGGAUCAAGAAGGCCGAGAUCAUCGUCGAGCUGUACGUGUGCUGAACGCGGAGGUGCCGUCCGUUCGGUACUAGAUCGUGGGACUGAUCGCGGGAUUGUUCGCGGGGCGGAUCGAGGGACGUGAGGACGUUCCACUACAUCAACCGCGAUCUCUAAUCGCUUCUGCUGUACGAUCUACAAGGGUACGUAGAUCACUCAUCCCCUCUCGUAGAUGGACAUCACCAUGAUAGGUCUUCGUGCGCGUAGGAAAAUUUUUGUUUCCCAUGCGACGUUCCCCAACAGUGGCAUCAUGAGCUAGGUUCAUGCGUAGAUGUCUUCUCGAGUAGAACACAAAAGUUUUUGUGGGCGGUGAUGUGCGUUUUGCUGCCCUCCUUAGUCUUUUCUUGAUUCCGCGGUAUUGUUGGAUUGAAGCGGCUUGGACCGACAUUACUCGUACGCUUACGAGAGACUGGUUUCAUCGUUACGAGUAACCCCCUUUGCUCAAAGAUGACUGGCAAGUGACUGUUUCUCCAACUUUAGUUGAAUCGGAUUUGACCGAGGAGGUCCUUGGAUGAGGUUAAAUUGCAACUCAUAUAUCUCCGUUGUGGUGUUUGCGUAAGUAAGAUGCGAUCCUACUAGAUACCCUCGGUCACCACGUAAAACAUGCAACAACAAAAUUAGAGGACGUCUAACUUGUUUUUGCAGGGUAUGAUUGUGAUGUGAUAUGGCCAACGAUGUGAUGUGAUAUAUUGGAUGUAUGAGAUGAUCAUGUUGUAAUAGAAAUAUCGACUUGCACGUCGAUGGUACGGCAACCGGCAGGAGCCAUAGGGUUGUCUUUAUACUAACGUUUGUGCUUGCAGAUGCGUUUACUAUUUUGCUAGGAUGUAGCUUUAGUAGUAAUAGCAUAAGUAGCACGACAACCCCGAUGGCAACACGUUGAUGGAUGAUCAUGGUGUGGCGCCGGUGACAAGAAGAUCGUGCCGGUGCUUUGGUGAUGGAGAUCAAGAAGCACGUGAUGAUGGCCAUAUCAUGUCACUUAUGAAUUGCAUGUGAUGUUAAUCCUUUUAUGCACCUUAUUUUGCUUAGAACGACGGUAGCAUUAUGAGGUGAUCUCUCACUAAAAUUUCAAGACGAAAUUGUGUUCUCCNNNNNNNNNNNNNNNNNNNNNNNNNNNNNNNNNNNNNNNNNNNNNNNNNNNNNNNNNNNNNNNNNNNNNNNNNNNNNNNNNNNNNNNNNNNNNNNNNNNNUAAGUGAUGUUCUAAAGAGAUGAAAUUGUGAUUUCAUGCUUGUGCCCUUGUUAAGAGGUACGAGACCUCCAACAAGAUUCUUUGUCCACAAAGUAAAUGAGAAAAGCUCAAUCGUUGAGCGUGUGCUCAGAUUGUCUGAGUACGACAAACACUUGAAUCAAGUGGGAGUUAAUCUUCCAGAUGACAUAGUGAUGGUUCUCCAAAAGUCACUGCCACCAAGCUGUGAGAGCUUCGUGAUGAACUAUAACAUAUCAAGGAUAGAUACAAUGAUCCUUGAGCGAUUCGUGAUGUUUGACACUGCGAAAGUAGAAAUCAAGAAGGAGCGUCAAUAGUUGAUGGUUUGUAAAACCACUAAGUUUCAAGAAAGGCAAGGGCUAGAAGGGAUACUUCGUGAAACGGCAAAACAGUUGCUGCACUAAUGAAGAGACCCAAGAUUAAACCCAAACCCGAGACUAAGUGCUUCUGUAAUGAGGGGAACAGUCACUGAGGCGGAGCAACUCUAGAUACUUGGUAGAUAAGAAGGCUGGCAAAAGUCGAAAGAAGUGUAUUUGAUAUACAUGAUGUUGAUGUGUACUUUACUAGUACUCCUAGUAGCAUGAGGGUAUUGGAUACCGGUUCGGUUGCUAAGUGAUUAGUAACACGAAAUGAAAGCUACGGCAUAAACGGAGACUAGCUAAAGGCGAGGUGACGAUACGUGCUGGAAGUGUUUCCAAGGUUGAUAUGAUCAAACGUCGCACGCUCCCUCUACCAUCGGGAUUGGUGUUAAACCUAAAUAAUUGUUAUUUGGUGCUUGCGUUAAGCAUGAACAUGAUUGUAUCGUGUUUAUUGCAAUACGAUUAUUCAUUUAAGGAGAAUAAUGGUUACUCUAUUUUCUUGAAUAUUCACCUUCAAUGGUUUAUUGAAUCUCGAUCGUAGUGUUACACAUGUUCAUGAUAUUGGUGCCAAAAGAUACGAGUUAAUGAUGAUAGUACCACUUACUUGUGGCACUGCCGCUUGAGUCAUGUUAGUAUAAAUUGCAUGAAGAGGCUCCAUGCUGAUGGAUCUUUGUACUCACCUGAUUUCGAAUCACUAGUGACAUGCAAAUCAUACCACAUGAGCAAGGCCUUGUUUUCAUUGAGAUGAAAUAAGAUAGUAACUUGUUGGAAGUGAUACAUUUUGAUGUAUGCAGUCCAAUGGGUGCUGAGGCACGCAGUGGAUAUCAUUAUGUUCUUACUUCACUGACGAUUUGAGUAGAUAUAGGAGUAUUUACUUAAUGAAUCACAAGUCUGAAAUGUUGAAAAGUUCAAUUCCGUUUCAGAGUGAAGUUCAUCGUAACAAGAGGAUAAACUGUCUACGAUAUGAUCAUGGAAAUGAAAAUCUGAGUUACGGGUUUUUGGUACGCAGUUAAGACAAUGUGGAAAUUGUUUCGCAGUUCAUGCCACCUGGAACAUCAUAGUGUGAUGAUGUGUCUGAACGUCAUAGCCACGCACUAUUUGGUAUGGUGCAUACUAUGAUGUCUCUUAUCGAAUUACCACUAUCGUUUAUGGGUUUUGCAUUAGAGACAACCGCACUCACUUUAAAUAGGGCACCGCGUAUUUCCGUUGAGAUGACACAGUAUAGACUGAGGUUUAGAGAAAUCUAAACUGUCGUUUCCUGAAAGUUUGGGGUUUCGACACUUAUGUGAAAAAGUUUCAGUCUGAUAAGCUCGAACCCAAAGCGGAUAAAUGCUUCUUCAUAGGGUAUCCAAAACAGUUGGGUACAUCUCCUAUCUCAGAUCCGAAAGCAAAGUGUUUGUUUCUGGAAACGGAUCCUUUCUCGAGGAAAGGUUUCUCUCGAAAGAAUUGAGUGGGAGGGUAGUAGAACUUGAUGAGGUUAUUGAACCAUCACUUCAACCAGUGUGUAGCAGGGCGCAGGAAGUUGUUCCUGUGGCGCCUACACCAAUUGAAGUGGAAGAUGAUGAUGGUGAUCAUUGAGCUUCGAAUCAAGUUACUACAAACCUCGUAGGUCGACAAGGUCGCGUACUGCUGGAGAGUAGUACGGUAACCCUGUCUUGGAGGUCAUGUUGUUGAGCAACAAUGAACCUACGAGUUAUGGAGAAAGCGAUGGUGGGCCCAGAUUCCGACAAAUGGCUGGAAGCCAUGAAAUCCGAGAGAGGAUCCAUGUAUGAAAACAAAGUGUAGACUUUGGAAGAAUUACUUGAUGGUCAUAGGACUAUUGAGUAAAGAUGGAUCUUUAAAGGAAAACAGACGAUGAUGGUGAUAAGUCACUAUUAAGAAAAGCUCGACUUGUCACAAAGAUGUUUUCGACAAGAUCAAACAGUUGACUAUGAUGAGACUUUCUCACUCGUAGCGAUGCUAAAGGUCUGUUAGAAUUAUGUUAGUUGUUGAUGCAUUAUUUAUGAAAUAUUGCACGUAGGAUGUCAAAACAUUGUUUCCUCGACGGUUUCCUUGAGCAAACAUUGUAUGUGAUACAACCAGAAGUUUUUGUCGAUCCUAAAGAUGCUAGCAAGUAUGCAAGCUCCAGUGAUCCUUCAAUGGACUGGUGCAAGCAUCUCGGAGUUGGAAUAAGCACUUUGAUGAGAUGAUCAAAGAUUUUGGGUGUGUACAAGGUUUAUGAGAAACUUGUAUUUCCAAAGAAGUGAGUGGGAGCACUGUAGAAUUUCUGAUAGGUAUAUGUGGUUGACAUAUUGUGGAUCAGAAGUAAUGUAGAAUUUCUGUAAAGCAUACAAGGUUGUUUGAAAGAAGUUUUCAAAGGAGUACCUGGAUUACGCUACUUGAACGUUGAGCAUCAAAGAUCUAUGGAGAUAGAUCGAAAGCGCUUAAUAGAAGUUUCAACAAGAUGCAUGCCUUGACAAGUUUUUGAAAGAAUUCAAAAUAGACCAGCAAAGAAGGAGUUCUUGGUUGCGUUGUGAGGUGUGAAUUUGAGUAAGACUCAAAAACCGACCACGGCAGAAUAAAGAGAAUAGACGAAGGUCGUCUUCUAUGCCUUAGCCGUAGAAUCUAAAGUAUGCCAUGCUGUGUACCGCACAUCGAAGUGUGCCUUGACUCAAAGUAUGGUGAGAGGUAGAGAGAGUGAUCCAUGAUUGAAUCACUAGCAGCGGUCAAAAUUUAUCCUUAGUAACUAAUGGACUAAGGAAUUUUUCUCGAUUAUGGAGGUGGUUAAAGAGUUCGUCGUAAAGGGUUACGUCGAUGCAAGCUUUGACACUAAUCCGAAUAACUAUGAGUAGUGAAACGGAUUCGUAUAGUAGAGUAGAUAUUUGGAGCAUUUCCGAAUAGCACGUAGUAGCAGCAUCUAUAAGAUGACAUAAAGAUUUGUAAAGAACGCACGGAUCUGAAAGUUUCAGAACCGUUGACUAAAACCUCUCUCACGAGCAAGACGUGAUCAGACCCCAUAACUAUAUGGGUGUUGGAUUCGUUGGAAUCACAUGGUGAUGUGAACUAGAUUAUUGACUCUAGUGCAAGUGGGAGACUGUUGGAAAUAUGCCCUAGAGGCAAUAAUAAAUUAGUUAUUAUUAUAUUUCUUAGUUCAUGACAAUCGUUUAUUAUCCAUGCUAUAAUUGUAUUGAUUGGAAACACAAUACUUGUGUGGAUACAUAGACAAAACACUGUCCCUAGUAAGCCUCUAGUUGACUAGCUCGUUGUUCAAAGAUGGUCAAGGUUUCCUGGCCAUAGGCAAGUGUCAUCACUUGAUAACGGGAUCACAUCAUUAGGAGAAUCAUGUGAUGGACUAGACCCAAACUAAUAGACGUAGCAUGUUGAUCGUGUCAUUUUGUUGCUACUGUUUUCUGCGUGUCAAGUAUUUAUUCCUAUGACCAUGAGAUCAUAUAACUCACUGACACCGGAGGAAUGCUUUGUGUGUAUCAAACGUCGCAACGUAACUGGGUGACUAUAAAGAUGCUCUACAGGUAUCUCCAAAGGUGUUAUUUGAGUUAGUAUGGAUCAAGACUGGGAUUUGUCACUCCGUGUGAACGGAGAGGUAUCUCGGGGCCCACUCGGUAAUACAACAUCACACACAAGCCUUGCAAGCAAUGUAACUUAGUGUAAGUUGCGGGAUCUUGUAUUACGGAACGAGUAAAGAGACUUGCCAGUAAACGAGAUUGAAAUAGGUAUACGGAUACUGACGAUCGAAUCUCGGGCAAGUAACAUACCGAAGGACAAAGGGAAUGACAUACGGGAUUAUAUGAAUCCUUGGCACUGAGGUUCAAACGAUAAGAUCUUCGUAGAAUAUGUAGGAUCCAAUAUGGGCAUCCAGGUCCCGCUAUUGGAUAUUGACCGAGGAGUCUCUCGGGUCAUGUCUACAUAGUUCUCGAACCCGCAGGGGUCUGCACACUUAAGGUUCGACGUUGUUUNNNNNNNNNNNNNNNNNNNNNNNNNNNNNNNNNNNNNNNNNNNNNNNNNNNNNNNNNNNNNNNNNNNNNNNNNNNNNNNNNNNNNNNNNNNNNNNNNNNNNNNNNNNNNNNNNNNNNNNNNNNNNNNNNNNNNNNNNNNNNNNNNNNNNNNNNNNNNNNNNNNNNNNNNNNNNNNNNNNNNNNNNNNNNNNNNNNNNNNNNNNNNNNNNNNNNNNNNNNNNNNNNNNNNNNNNNNNNNNNNNNNNNNNNNNNNNNNNNNNNNNNNNNNNNNNNNNNNNNNNNNNNNNNNNNNNNNNNNNNNNNNNNNNNNNNNNNNNNNNNNNNNNNNNNNNNNNNNNNNNNNNNNNNNNNNNNNNNNNNNNNNNNNNNNNNNNNNNNNNNNNNNNNNNNNNNNNNNNNNNNNNNNNNNNNNNNNNNNNNNNNNNNNNNNNNNNNNNNNNNNNNNNNNNNNNNNNNNNNNNNNNNNNNNNNNNNNNNNNNNNNNNNNNNNNNNNNNNNNNNNNNNNNNNNNNNNNNNNNNNNNNNNNNNNNNNNNNNNNNNNNNNNNNNNNNNNNNNNNNNNNNNNNNNNNNNNNNNNNNNNNNNNNNNNNNNNNNNNNNNNNNNNNNNNNNNNNNNNNNNNNNNNNNNNNNNNNNNNNNNNNNNNNNNNNNNNNNNNNNNNNNNNNNNNNNNNNNNNNNNNNNNNNNNNNNNNNNNNNNNNNNNNNNNNNNNNNNNNNNNNNNNNNNNNNNNNNNNNNNNNNNNNNNNNNNNNNNNNNNNNNNNNNNNNNNNNNNNNNNNNNNNNNNNNNNNNNNNNNNNNNNNNNNNNNNNNNNNNNNNNNNNNNNNNNNNNNNNNNNNNNNNNNNNNNNNNNNNNNNNNNNNNNNNNNNNNNNNNNNNNNNNNNNNNNNNNNNNNNNNNNNNNNNNNNNNNNNNNNNNNNNNNNNNNNNNNNNNNNNNNNNNNNNNNNNNNNNNNNNNNNNNNNNNNNNNNNNNNNNNNNNNNNNNNNNNNNNNNNNNNNNNNNNNNNNNNNNNNNNNNNNNNNNNNNNNNNNNNNNNNNNNNNNNNNNNNNNNNNNNNNNNNNNNNNNNNNNNNNNNNNNNNNNNNNNNNNNNNNNNNNNNNNNNNNNNNNNNNNNNNNNNNNNNNNNNNNNNNNNNNNNNNNNNNNNNNNNNNNNNNNNNNNNNNNNNNNNNNNNNNNNNNNNNNNNNNNNNNNNNNNNNNNNNNNNNNNNNNNNNNNNNNNNNNNNNNNNNNNNNNNNNNNNNNNNNNNNNNNNNNNNNNNNNNNNNNNNNNNNNNNNNNNNNNNNNNNNNNNNNNNNNNNNNNNNNNNNNNNNNNNNNNNNNNNNNNNNNNNNNNNNNNNNNNNNNNNNNNNNNNNNNNNNNNNNNNNNNNNNNNNNNNNNNNNNNNNNNNNNNNNNNNNNNNNNNNNNNNNGUCACACUCGGAGACUUAGCUGCGAUCACGCAUCGCCUAAGUAUUAACUUCUCCGAGUGUGCACUUCACGUCCCACUCGGGGACUUAGCUGCGAUCACGCAGCGMCUAAAGUAUUAAACUUCUCCGAGUGUGCACUUCACGUCCCACUCGGGGACUUAGCUGCGAUAACGCAGCGCCUAAGUAUUAACUUCCUCCGAGUGUGCGCUUCAUGUCACACUCGGGGACUUAGCUGCGAUCACGCAGCGCCUAAGUAUUAACUUCCUCCGAGUGUGCGCUUCAUGUCACACGUCGGGGNNNNNNNNNNNNNNNNNNNNNNNNNNNNNNNNNNNNNNNNNNNNNNNNNNNNNNNNNNNNNNNNNNNNNNNNNNNNNNNNNNNNNNNNNNNNNNNNNNNNCGGAGAAGUUAAUACUUAGGCGAUGCGUGAUCGCAGCUAAGUCUCCGAGUGUGACGCAAAAGUGCACACUCGGAGGAAAGGUGUUACUUAGACGMUGCRKGACUCGCCCAGCUAAGUCCCCCGUASGUGGGACGUGAAGUGCACACUCGGAGAAGUUAAUACUUAGGCGAUGCGUGAUCGCAGCUAAGUCUCCGAGUGUGACGCAAAGUGCACACUCGGAGGAAGGUGUUACUUAGACGAUGCAGGAUCGCAGCUAAGUCCCCGAGUGCGACGUGAAGUGCACACUCGGAGAAGUUAAUACUUAGGCGAUGCGUGAUCGCAGCUAAGUCUCCGAGUGUGACAUGAAGUGCACACUCGGAGGAAGUUAAUACUUAGGUGAUUCUUGAUCACAGCUAAGUCCCCGAGUGCGAUGUGUAGUGCACACUCGGAGGAAGUGAUUACUUAGGCGAUGCGUGAUCGCAGCUAAGUCCCCGAGUGCGACGCAGAGUGCACACUCGGAGAAGUUAAAACUUAGGCAAUGCAGGAUCGCAGCUAAGUCCCCGAGUGUGACGUGAAGUGCACACUCGAAGGAAGAUAAUNNNNNNNNNNNNNNNNNNNNNNNNNNNNNNNNNNNNNNNNNNNNNNNNNNNNNNNNNNNNNNNNNNNNNNNNNNNNNNNNNNNNNNNNNNNNNNNNNNNNCAUCUCUAGCAGUAUCAGGCAUAGCAUCUCUAGCAGUAUGAGGCAUAGCAUCUCUAGCAGUAUCAAGCAUAGUAUCUCUAGCAGUAGCAAGCAUAGUAUCUCUAGCAGUAGCAUCAUAAGCAUCAUCAAGCAUAGGCGACACAUCAAGAUUUCUAGCAGGAGGUGAUGUUGCAAACUUACUCAUAACUGAAGGUGAAUCAAGUGCAGAGCUAGAUGGCAGUUCCUUACCUCCCCUCGUAGUUGAGGGCAAGACUUUUGUUUUCGGAUCCUUCAGAUUCUUCAUAGUGAUCAGCAGAUAUAAAUCCCAAGUAACUCAGAGAAUAUAGCAAUCGCUUCCCCGGCAACGGCGCCAGAAAAAUGCUGAUGGCAAUCUCUGGCAAUGGCUAGACGAAUGCUAUUCUCGAUUGCUCAACAAUUAGAAAUUGUCUUGCAAUUAUCCACCAGCGUGUGGGAUCGAGGCAGUUUUCGAGGGUAGAGUAUUCAACCCAAAUUUGUUGGUUCGCCAAUAGGAAGUCAGAGGAUACUCUCAAGUAUUAGCAGCUGAAUGUGUUAGAUUCAACCACACCUGAAAGAUUAAUAUCUGCAAGCAAAGUAUCAACAUCAAAGUAGUAAGAUAGCAACGGUGUCAGAAACGAUCUGUUGACGGCAGACUAUUCCUAACUGUUGUAUCAAUGGCGCCAGAAGUUGCCCGUUGACGGAAAUUGUCUUUUCACGUCAACGCUGAGCGAAUCAGAAUUGUAGCAGGUAGCAGCAGUGUAACGAGUAGCAGCAGUGCCAAGGAACAGCAGUAGUGACAGCAGUAGCAAGUAGCAACAGUAGCAAGUAACAGCAGUAGCAAGUAGCAACACUAGCAAGUAACAGCAGUAGCAAGUAGCAACAGUAGCAAGUAACAGCAGAGCAAGACAAGUAACAGCAGCAGUGGGACAAACUCGUAGGCAAUGGGUCGGUGAUUUUUUUGGAUGAUAUUCAUCCCGCAAUAGACAUAACACGGAGAGAUAUGUAGCUAGCUCCCGUUCGUCAAUGUGAUGUAGGCAUGCAUUCCGUGUGUCGUCAUACGUGCUUAGGGAAAAGAACUUGCAUGACAUCUAUUGUCCAUCCCUCCCAUGGCAGCGGGGUCCAAAAGGAAACUACGGGAUAUUAAGGUUCUCCUUUUAAUAAAGAAUCGGACCAACGCAUUAGCACUUGGUGAACACAUGAACUCCUCNNNNNNNNNNNNNNNNNNNNNNNNNNNNNNNNNNNNNNNNNNNNNNNNNNNNNNNNNNNNNNNNNNNNNNNNNNNNNNNNNNNNNNNNNNNNNNNNNNNNGCUUGCCGAAUUUUUCUGCAAUCCUAUUCGGGGCUGCCUUUCAUAUAUAUAAGUAUAUGCAACGGGAGCUCAUGAUAGAUGUACUGAAGUUGGUUAGUCAUUACAAACUUGUGUAGCGAAAUGGAAAUGGGUUUCGAUGAUAGCUUUAUGUAAAAGAUACAUCAAACUAACAAAAUAAACCUAUGAAACAGUAGUUUAUUUUUGCUUUUUAUGUACUCACGAAUGAAUCUCAACUGGGUGUUGAGUCAUUCCUUGGCCGGGCCUUUGUGGAUACUAGUCGACAAAAUAGCAACAAAUCAACUCCUGGAUCUAUUGCUCUGGAUUAGUCCUCACUACCAAAAAGAACCUUGUAAGUGAUUGGUUACUACAAACAGACUUUAAUUAAGGCACGACAUGUGUUUAAUUAGUAGCAACACUUGUCACUGAAGGCCAACAGGGUUCUUCAAUUCCGGCGUUUUCCAGUCUCAAGUUAAAACAUGACUUUUGCUCAAAAAAAGUAAGAACAUGACAAGACAACAUAGGUUGGAAUAAAUUAUCAUUAAGAUUAAAAUUAGACUGACGCUGUAAAAAAGAGAGAUUAAGGUGAUUGAAUUAGACCAUACUAGUAGCUAGCUCCGGUUCAUUUUUGCAAGGACCACAUGAAGAGCUUCAUCAUUUGAAUUAUUUCCUGAUGGCAUGAGACCAUAUCAUCAAUGUGUAUAUGGACCAUAUAUCUAUCCAUUGGUUAUUUUCAGCCUUUUUUGUUGCAGUAUAAGGGUCUGCACCCUACCCCAGUACAUGCAUGCAAAUCCCAUUUGAAGAACCUUCUAGAUGUUUCUAGAAACUCACACUGGCUUAACCAUUUGACAGGCAAUAUCCAUCCACGAAAGAUGGAGAAUUUGGCAUGUCGGCCAUAGCACCCCUGGCUGAACGACGGCCUAGUGGGUCUCAUAGAAAAGGGCAUGGAAAUUGUCCCAAAUACCAAGAAUGGCGCAUGAAGCUCACAGAAUAUGAUUCUAAGGAUCGAAAGCUCUAAGAGUUAACCAGAAGUCAAGGAUCCUUUGCGAUGGGAUAUUCUCAGAAUUCGGGGAGUCAAUAGCACAAGACCCCUAAAUCCCCGAGAAAAGAUAUAAUCCUUGGAGUCCAUUCUUCAAAUCUGGUGCAGGAGGAGGCAAAGGCAGUAUUUGUAGAUAGUUAGCAAGACAAGCAAAAACCUUAAGGAAUAUGCUAAAGACCAUAGGGAUAUUCCCUUCUAAAUUACCAUCACACCCUUAGAGUUAGAGAAAAAAAAUAAGGGUACACUUGCAUGUCGUGUAAUUUCCUCAACCUUCCACCUUUGACCUACCAAUAGAAGGCCUCCACUCACUUCAAAGGGAGGGGCAAAGGCUUGAGCUCUCACUCGAUCACUUAGGAGAAGUGAAGGAGAGUCNNNNNNNNNNNNNNNNNNNNNNNNNNNNNNNNNNNNNNNNNNNNNNNNNNNNNNNNNNNNNNNNNNNNNNNNNNNNNNNNNNNNNNNNNNNNNNNNNNNNCAAAUGAACUCUGAAAAUGUUGAAAGUUGGCGUGCUAUCAUCAUUUCACCCACCAUAGACAUGUGUAAAGUUAGACGGCCUACGACAAAAGUCGGAGUGUACGUACGUAGGUAACGAAAAGUUGACAAUCACACAGAAGUAGCAGGGUUUCGAACGAGAACUCAUCUCUUACAAAGGGAUUUCAUUUUUUUGAACUUAUUUUAACUCCAUACUUUGUGUGUGUUCAAAAUGCACCAUUCAAAGGCACAUCACCAAAUUUCAACAAUUUCUGACUUCAUUUGGUAUUCUUCGUGCAUUUACUUAUUUUUUUUGGGCUAGUUGACCCUGAAAUUGAAAAGCACAACAAAUGAUCUCUGAAAAUGUUGAAAGUUGGCAUGCUAUCAUCAUUUCACCCACAUAGAAUAUGUUAAAAGUUGAGAGGGCUACGACAAAAACUGGAUGCAGUUCGUGUACAAAACUAACAAUCUCUCUCGAAGUAGCACGGUUUCGAACGAGAACUCAUCUCUUACAAAGGGAUUUCAUUUUUUUGAACUUAUUUGAACUCCAUACUUUUUGUGUGUUCAAAAUGCACCAUUCAAAGGCACAUCACAAAAUUUCAACAAUUUCUGACUUCAUUUGGUAUAUUUCAUGCAUUUACUUAUUUUUUUAGCUAGUUGACCCUGAAAUUGAAAAGCACUACAAAUGAACUCUGAAAAUGUUGAAAGUUGGCAUGCUAUCAUCAUUUCACCCACAUAGCAUGUGUUAAAAUGUUGAGAGGGCUACGACAAAAACUGGAUGCAGUUCGUGUACAAAACUGACAAUCUCUCUCGAAGUAGCAGGGUUUCAAACGAGAACUCAUCUCUUACAAAGGGAUUUCGUUUUUUGAACUUAUUUGAACUCCAUACUUUUUGUGUGUUCAAAAUGCACCAUUCAAAGGCACAUCACAAAAUUUCAACAAUUUCUGACUUCAUUUGGUAUUCUUCGUGCAUUUACUUAUUUUUUGAGCUAGUUGACCCUGAAAUUGAAAAGCACUACAAAUGAACUCUAGAAAAUGACGAAAGUUGGCAUGCUAUCAUAAUUUCACCCACAUAGAAUGUGUUAAAAAGUUGAGAGGGCUACGNNNNNNNNNNNNNNNNNNNNNNNNNNNNNNNNNNNNNNNNNNNNNNNNNNNNNNNNNNNNNNNNNNNNNNNNNNNNNNNNNNNNNNNNNNNNNNNNNNNNCACACACACACCUCGACUAAUCUCGCUGCAUUUCAAUGCGUCCUAUUCGACGUUGGGUAAUGUCUUGUUGGACCAUCGUUUAGCCGAACCUACGCUCGACAUCAUUGAUUUCUAGACACUGUUUAUAAGGAUCGAUGCAUUUUUAAUUAAAAUAGAUGGCAGGAAAUAUUUGCAUAUUAAACAAUGCAUGACAUGAAGUGUUGGAUGAAUUUGACAUGCAUAAAGUCGCCAUUCAAUAAAAUAACCUCAAGUUUGUAUGUACAGGUUUCUGCAGAAGAACUUCAACUCCAGCGUUUCCAACCUCAAAUUAGAACAUGUAAUAGCCCGUACAUUUCUUUCUUCCGUUCUUGAUUGAUUACUUGCUGCUCGUCGCUAAGUUGUCAGCCCCUUCUUUCUUUUCCAAUUUGUGCUCACUCCUUUUCAGUUUCCUCACAUAUCUCAAACCCGAUAGCAUGAAUCAUAUAUAGCGCAUNUUCGGGGGCAUCUCUCUGCAUAGCAAAGCGCGUGAAGCGAAUUUUAACAACUUCCAGAAUUAUCACUGCAUGCCAUUCCACUCCGGCGCGGAGUCGUGGAGCGGAGUGAGUACGAACGUGCCCAUAGUUUCCACGCCGAUCAGGAUGCACUAAGAUAUUUUCGCUCGGUACCAAAAACC